rnacentral:lncRNA from 1 species
GGUGAGUCCAGUGACCUACUCGGCGAGUCUGUCACUUAAAACCCGUGUGUGGCAAGUCAGCGCGUCCAGAAUCACGAAAGUUCGAUACAACUCGCUGAGUAAUCGACCCUACUCGCCGAGUACGUUUCAAAUCAGCAUUUUCUCAAAACACAAAAGUCGUCCGAAAUUGUGUCUAUUUUUAGAACAUUUUGAAUCUCGUCAAUCGGAGUUAUGGUUCGUGAGAUAUGGCCAAAACACUGACGAGGGGUCAAGCUGUCCAGCAACAUCCUUCUUUCUUCAAAAUCCAAGAUCCAAGCGUCCAAUCGCCAAUUCCGCUUCCUUUUCCUUUUGCACAUGUCUUUGUUGAAAAAUGAAAUUAUAAACUAAUUAAGCACCUUUUGUUCAUUAAAAGAGACAAAAACAACAUAAAGUAUUAAGAUAAUUCAUGGAUUUUAUAACUAAAUAUGCCCAUAUCAAUGCUAACUGUUUUCAAUUCCCUAACUACCGACCCCUCAAUAAUACCAUAACCCGAAAGAUCGAGUGAAUACAAUACCAUGAAUCAUGCGAAUGAGACUAGCAGAUAUAAUACUCCAUAACAACCAUAACAUAACAAGAUAUCAAGAAGGAAACAUACUCGCAGUUGUAUCCGGCUCUGCCCUGACCUCCUCUGAUAUAAGUUGAAAAGCACACCCCUGAGCCCUCGGGGGCUCUGCUCCACCCUGACCUCCACCCGUAAUCCUCAAAGUGGCCGGUGCUGGAGCCUGCACCGGUCCUGCAGCAAGCUGUGGAUAGUUGCCCUCAUGUGACCAACCUGAUGGCACUGAUAACAAAUCCUCAUAUCCUGAACUGGGGCUGACUGACGGCAAUCCCUCGCAUAAUGCCCCUCUCUCCAGCACUUUUGGCACGCACCACCAGACCUACAAACUCCGGUGUGACCCUUCCCGCACUUGCCACAAGUGUGGCUGCUCUAACCUCCCAACCUAGAAUCAACGGUCUUCGACUGUUUCGGCGUUGACUGCGACUGCACCGGGGCCUACGUCUUCUCUCUCAACUGCAACUCAAUCUCCAACUCACGCCGUCGAGCAGCCUCCUGCAACUCCAGCAAGGUCUUGCACCUCUGUGUAGACAUAAAUUAUCUGAUAUACCUCUUGAGCAUACUAAUAUAUCGGGACAUCUGAGCCUGUUCUGAAGCAAACUUCGGGCAAAACAUCGCCCUCUCAGUGAACAUCCUGGUGAUCUCCAUCACCGACUCUGAAUCCUGCUUCAGCUCCAGGAACUCCUGAGCCAACCUCUCUCUCUCAACUCGCGGAACAUAGCGAGUGAUGAACAUCUCCCAAAACUGAUACCAAGAAACCGCAGCCCGCUGCGCAUCCGAAUAUGACCCCGAAGUCAACCUCCACCAAUCAUUCGCCUCAAGCCUCAACAGGUUCAGAGCACACCUCACCCUCUGAUCAGCAGGGCAUGAACAUGUGAAGAAACAUCCCUCCACACCUGACAACCAUCGUAUAGCAACAAUUGGAUCCUGAACUCCAUCAAAAGUAGGGGGCUUCGUAUUAUCGAAGUCCCGAUACUGAAAUCCUCUACCGGCUCCUACCCCUGCCGCUGCUANNNNNNNNNNNNNNNNNNNNNNNNNNNNNNNNNAUACUGAAAACCCCGACUAGCUCUUCCCCCUGCCGCUGCUACAGCCGUUGUAGCCGCCGUGGCAGCCGUCUCUGUAAGAGUUGCAUAGCGCUCAUCAAAAUACUCGACCAUGGCGGUCUUGAUUGACCGAAACAGUUCCGGAAACUCGGCCCGGAACAUAGCAGCAACCUCAUCAUGUAGGAUCUCACGAAUCCUAGAAUCCAAAUCGUCUAUGCUCAUCUGACCAAUAGCCUCGGGCGGUAUUGACCCACCCUCACCGGCCUCUCCUGCUCCCAAUCCCGAUCCGGAUCAACUCCCAGCAUGCCUCAUAACCACCAUACUGACAAACACCGCAAAACAUCAGAUACUUCCCACUAACCCGGGAACCGACCCCCAACCCAGCCUUAGGGUUGUGACUUCCUUGAUACGCGUAUGGGUCCUGUGCUUUCAGUAGUACGGGCCCGUACUACCUUCCACACCUAUCCAUAUUUAUAUCAAGUAUCACCACAACACCCUAGUGAUGAACAUGCGNCGCUCAACCCACUCCUAGAGGAACACUGGAAAUCUCAUACAGAAAGAAACCUUAGGCUAUCAGGCAUCAUAAAUCAGGCAACUCUAUCAUGCAAUUCCUGAAGAUCCCUAGCCUAGUACUAGCAUGUUGUUCUAACAUAUCAGAUAAUCAAAUAACUUGCAUGGUAUUUUGGGGUCACUUACUGGCUCCGGCUGAUCGUACCUCCACGUCCUCCUUUACUCAUUUUUGAAAACCAUUUUAAAUUCUCUUUUGAAAACUCUCCUUGAUUUGAGAUUGGAUUCACUCGAAUGUUCCUCCAUUUCACUCAAACCAAGGCUCUGAUGCCAACUUGUAACGCUCUAAAAAUUCCAACCAAUUUAAACUUUUCAAAAACAACACAAUUUCAUUAAGUUAUUAAAAAUGGUUUUCGAUACAUUUAUUAUCAGAGUAUUCCCAGAACCAUAUCAUAAAACAUAAACAUGAGGAGCGGUACGAUCAUGCCUUUGCCUUGCCACGGUCUCCUGAAGUACCUAAAACAUUAAACCACAACUGUAAGCCCGAAAGCUUAGUGAGAUACCCCCAAAAUACCAACCACAUAUACCAACCACAUAACAUAUCAUAUCAUAACAGAACAGUCAUGCACUUUGGGUCUACUGUGUGACUGGUCCGCCGCACCGGGCCUUCAGUACCUGGUCCACCCUCCGAGUCUAGCCAUACACAUCGCGUCUACAGUGUGGUUGGUCCGCCUGCACUGGGCCUUCAACCCACCUGGUCCACUCUCUGAGUCUUCAGUAUGACUGGUCCGCCCGCACUGGGCCUUUAGAUGGCCUGGUCCACUCUCCAUGUCUCGGCACGUCUGGUCCACCCUCGUGGGGCCUACAGCCUAUCCGGACCGCUCGCUGGGCCUUCGAAAUAUCCAAUCCGCCCUGGGUAUGUUGGCCUACAGCACAAAGUAGGACCCACCUCAACCCAACCCCAGUCAACCAACCAUGUGCACAUAAACAUAUAAUCAUAUAACAAUUCAUCACUAACCAACCGAUCUAGCAAAUCACAUACAUAGCACAUCCCUACCAGGAUUCCGACCUAACCGGUCACUAUCAUAGCAUCAUCCUAUAAACCAGGAUACCGAACCUAACCAGGUCUCUAACAUAUACCAUCCUAACUACCAGGAUGCAAACAUAACAAAGCAAUAACAUAACAAACAACUACCCGAAUUCCCAUCCGAUAAAGGGCCGACCUUGGUGCUUUAGACCCUGGUGAUAUAGUGAGGAUAACUCACCUCGCAACUGUUGACUGAAAAGAUAAGAUCACGCUGCUCCAACCUCCGACACGAACUCUACUACUGAUCAAUACCAAAUGACUGAACUCAAUAAAUACCAAUAAUUACCAAAAUACCCUGGAAGUCAACUGGUCAACUCUUGGUCAAAGUCAAAGUCCUCAGUCAAAGUCAACCCUCCUGACUGACUCUACUCGCCGAGUCAACCCGCUGACUCGUCGAGUCCCUAUACUCAGAAACUCCCAAUCCACGACUCAACUCACCGAGUCGCCUGAAGACUCACCGAGUCCAACAACCUUUGAGUCCUUUCUCGCUCAACUCACCGAGUCGUCCCUCGACUCACCGAUUCACAGCUCAACCAAAAAGGUUAGGACUUCACGACCAGACUCGCCGAGUCCAAGGCAAUCUUCAACAGACUCGCUGAGUUGUUCUUCCAACUCGUCGAGUUCCUGUCUAUCUUCAUCCAACUCGCUGAGUUCACCCAUGGAACUCGCCGAGUCUCUUCAGUUCUCAUUCCAUACAGAGGCUUUCCAAGCCAUGCAGGGGCUCAAAUCCAUUGAUCUACCCUUCUACAAUCCAUUCCUCACAUAAAGUGGCAAACUUUACGCGAACUCUAGGAGCUAUGAGCCCAAAAUGCUCUAGGGUUAAGGCUAAGGACAAAAGAGCUUCACCAACAACUCUUAUACAGGAACUUUAUGACCUAUAGGACCAUCACAAGCUUAGAUCUGAAGUAGCAUCCUCAGAUCCAAGCUUCUAUCUCGAAUUGGAUCUCAUAUCAAACCACCAUACAUGAAUCCAUGAAGAAAUAGCUUAAGGAAAUGGUUCCUUACCCCUGAAAUGAGCCCAACCAACUGUAGAUUUCUGAUCUCCCCAAGAUUCCUGAUACAAGCCUCCAACCUUCAAGCUCCAAGCACCAAAGAUCCUCCUCCAAGCUCUAAUUCACUCAACAGUGGGGUCUCCUCAUGAAUUAGGGUUUUCUGGAUCUCAAAUGAUCAGCAAAGAGGCUGAAGGGAAAACAUAAGUUUCCUUAUAUAGGGUGCAGACCCUGAAAAUAGGGUUUCUCAUUCCAACACCGACUCACCGAGUCUAGCCGCCGACUCGCCGAGUUGGUCACUAAACUCGUGACCAAAAUCGCGACUCGACUCGCCGAGUCUAUCCUCCUUAAUUACACCAAGCACCCUGAACUUGCACUUCUGAACUCGGGGUGUUACAUUGAUUCAACACCACUUGUGAGGUGAGUUUUCCUCACUAUACUUAUGGGUCGAAGGCACCAAUGCCAGCCCUUGUUGGGAGUUUGUCCUAGUAGAAUGUUACAAGGUUGCUAUGAUCUGUUAGAUCUGUAUCCUUAUACAUAGGAUGAUGCUAUGCUUAGUGAUCUAUAAGAUCUGCCUGUGUGUCUGUAGACUGGUUAUGUGUUUAAUUUCUAUAUACGUCGACAUCUAUUUAGGUGUGUGUGUGUGUGGCUGGGUUGAGGCGGUGCUGCUUUGUGUUGUAGGCCAACAGACCCAGGGCAGUCUGAAUAGACUAAAAGCCUGUGAGGCAGUCCAGUCAGGCCGAAGGCCCGACAAGCGGUCCGGAGAGACUGUAGGCCUUAUGAGGCGGUCCAGUCAUGCUGAAUGCUUAAGAGCGGUCUAGAUAGGUUGAAGACCCUGCGAGGCGGUCCAGUCAGGCUGAAGGCUCAUUAUGCAUGUUGUUAUUGGUUAUGUCUAUGUCAUGGUAUUUUGGGGAAGAAUCACUAAGAAUUGGUCUUACAGUUGUGAAUUUUGUUUCAGGUACAUCGGAUGAUCGCGGGAAGGCGAAGGCUUGAUCGUGCACCUCCUCACAUUUUAUGUCACGAUUUCUGGGAAACUCUGAUAUUGGAUUAUUUUGAAAACAAUUUCGUAAACAAUGUCUGGUUUUAGAAUGUUUAAAAAGUUUAAAAUUUUAUGAAUUUUAUGGAUGUUACUGUGUUAUUAUCUAGUAGUGAUUCAUAACAUCGAAUAAAAUCCACAUGCAAUGAGGAAUAAAGCUUAUGGAACCGAAAGUAGGUAAAAGAUUAUCUUGGAGAAGACUACCAUUCAAGGUCAACAGAAAUCAAGAUCGUGCAAAAUAUGUGGCGUGUAAGGUAUGGCAUUUCCAUCUUCCAUCGAUUAGCCACGUACACAUCAAUUUUCAGAAAUUCAUCAUCAAUUUCUCCAUUACAGACAUCUAUUUUCUAUAUUUCAUAUCACAACAUCGCUUUCCAACAAUUCAUCAUCACAUAAUUUUGCUAUUACUAAAGGAUUAUCAAGAAGGUUUGAUUUUCAACAAUUUAUCAUCAACUUUGUUAUGACAUAAGGAUUAUCAACAAAGAUCGUUUAUCAAAAACUCAUCAUCGAUAAUCGAUUUUCAGCAAUGCAUCAUUAAAAUGGGAAUGAACAGAAUACUAACUCUAAUAUACUAAAUUAGAAAUGCUAGAAUAUUAUACUAGAGGCUAAUAUAUAAAACAUAAUUUCUAGAAUAUUUUACUACUAAAAUCAAAAUGACUAGAAUAAUAUAAUAUAUAAAAUCAGAAUGACUAGAAUAUUGUACUAAACAUCAAUGUUCUAAAACUCAUCAUUAGUUUCUCUAUUACAGACAACGAUAAGGAAUUUCGAUAUUUCAACAAUUCAUCUUCAAUUUCUCUACUAGUGAAGGAUUAUCAUAAAGUAUUGAUUACCUAUCCGUUUCGUAUAAUAUCAUAUAAUUUCAUAUCAUAACAUUAAUUUUUAGCAAUUCAUCAUCAAAGAAUUUUGUUCUUACUAAAGAAUAAGCAAGUUUCGAUUUACAACAAUUUAAUAAUUUAUCAUAAACUUUGCUAUUACAUAAGAUUAUCAACUCAUCGGCAAUCAAUUUUCAGCAACUCAUGAUAAAAAUAGGAAUGAACAUGAUACUAAAAAGAAUGGUAGAAUAUUAUACUAGAAGUUAUAAUACAAAACAGAAUGACUAGAAUAUUAUACUGGAAGUUAAUAUAUAAAAUAAAAUUACAUAUUUUACUAUACAAAUCAAAAUGAAAAGAAUAAUAUACUAUACAAAAUCAGAAUGACUAGAAUAUUGUAGUGAGCAUCAAUGUUUAACAAUUCGUCAUCACUUUCUCUAUUAUAGACAUCUAUAAGUAAUUACGAGAUUACAUCGGUUUUCAACAAUUCAUCAUCAAUUUCUCUAUUACUUAAGGAUUAUCAUAAAGAAUCGAUUUUAGACAUAAAUUUUUUGUAAUCUCAUAUUAGAACACUGAUUUUCAAUAAUUCAUCAUCAAAAAAUUUCUCUAUUACUAAAUCAUUAAAAACAAUGAUCGAUUUUCAGCAAUUUAUCAUAAAUUUUGCUAUUACAUAAGGAUUAUCAGCAAGGAUCUAUUUAUCAACAACUCAUAAUCAAUCGAUUCCAACAAUUCAUCAUAAAAAUGAGGAUGACAACCAUACUAACUCUAAUAUACAAAAUUAGAAGGACUAGAGUAUUAUACUAGAAGCUAAUCCACAAAACCAAAAAACCAGAAAUUUUUACUACACAAAUCAAAAUAAUUAGAAUAAUAUAUUAUACAAAAUCAGAAUGACUAGAAUAUUGUACUAAACAUCAAUGUUUAACAAUUCAUGAUCAUUUUCUCUAUUACAUACAUCGAUAAGGAAUUUCUGGAGUUCAACAUUUAUUUUCAACAAUUCAUCAUCAUUAAUUCUAUAUUUCAAAGGUUUAUUGUAAAUGAUCGAUUUUCAGCAAUUAUUCAUCAAUUUUGCUAUUAUAAAAGAAGUAUAAGCAAGAGUCAAUGAAAAACUCAUCAAUAAUUUUGAUUUUUAGCAUCUUAUCAUCAUAAUUAGAUUGGAUAGAAUACUAAGUCUAGCAUACGAAACUCAAAAUUACUAUAAACGUUUACUAGAAGCUCAUAUACAAAACAAAAUAGAAUGAUUAGACAUUGUACUAUACGAAAUCAGGACUAGUAGAAAAUUGUUCUGAAAGCUAAAGAUUGAGUUUUUGUUGGAAAAGAGCUUUAUGUCCUUUAUAUUUGAUUCAGUUGCUUCUCUUUGGUACUCUAGACUAGACUUCAAUACAUGUUAUUUUAAUCACUCUACCUACUUGAUCUAAUGACAUUGGUGAUUCAUCUUUUAUAUUGAGAAGGGGAAAUGGAAUCUGAUUCUCUCGAACAAAACAUUGUUGAAAGAUAAAAUCAAAGCCUUUGAUGAGUAUGAGUUCUAAUGUCGAUUCUUAAAACUAGAAUGAAACAAUCUGAAUAACAUAUAAUUAAGGUUUAUGAUUUUUAAUGGAUGUCGAUUCCUUCUAUUUAGAAGGAUAGGGUUUAUGUGAAUUUAAGGGAUGAUAGAUUAAGGAAAGAAAGAAAUUGCAUAUAUGAUUUUAAUUCCUUAACGAUCUUCGGUUUUUUUUUAAACAAGAAACUGAAAUUAACUCACUCUAGGAAUCUUUUGCUUCACUUUGCUUCAAUUAAGAGAAUGGUUAAGAGCGAGGAUAUGAUAUGUGGUUUUGAUUUCAUAUAUUAGGGUUAUUCGACUUAGAAUUUGUACAACCCGAAUUAUUCAUCGGUUCAAUUACACAAUCCAAAUUUGAAUUGCUUGAACUAAUACCUGUUUUGUGAAGGAAUGGUUGAUAAUCGAGAUUGAACAAGAAGGUUGAAAUUCCGAAUUAGAAGGAAUAAGAAUUUUUUGAUAAUCGAGAUUGAUCGAGGGUUUUCUUAUCAUUUUUGGCAACAUGAAUCAAUUAGGAUUUGUUUUCGAGUAUGAAUGAGAGGAUGAAUUUGAGCUAAAAUCAGAAUAAAGAGUUCAAAUUUUCAAUUUCGAUUUAGGGUUAAUCAGAAACAUAUUUGUAAUGGAAGGGUUUUUGAUCGAUGAAAGGGUUUUAAGAAAUGAAAAGCAUAUGAAUGCAUUUGUGAAUGUGCCAAGUUAUGUCUCUACCCUCGGAGAUUCCAGUUAAUUAGAAAGUUUAUGUUGUUUACACAGACUGUCACUGCCAGCUUUUUUUAUUAAAUCUGACGACAUAUCAAUUUUAAUCAAGGGCUAAGAUUUGGUCCUCAUGUCUCACAAAAUAUAGGUGGUCUCAAAUGAACUUAACCCUAUAUAUAUAUAUAUAUAUAUAUAUAUAUAUAUAUAUAUAUAUAUAUAUAUAUAUAUAGAGAGAGAGAGAGAGAGAGAGANGCGGACGUGUGGACAAUGUUAUUCUGUGAGAAUCAUGAAAAAAAUAUGUCUUUUGAUAAUAUAAAUAGGUUCAAUCUUAUAUAACUAUUUUCAUUAACACACAUUCUCACUAAUUAAAUCAUCUAUAAAGUUAUUAUAGAUUUUUUAUUAUUAUUCUCAUUCUGUCAGAAUGUUAUUAGAAUGUUUAUUGAGUCGUAUUUUGUCAGAAUGAAAGUGAGUGAAAAACGAUGUGUGAGAAACAAUAUGAAUAAGAAUUAGUGACAAUGCAUGAAAAUGAUGAUAUUUAUGUAAGGUUGAACGUAUUCGCAUUAUUAAACAACUUAUUCUCUAAGUAAUUUGCAUAGAAUAACACUGUCCACACGCCCGCACAAUAAUUGUCCAUCCACAUUAUAACCUAGCCCAAUAUAUAUAUAUAUAUAUAUAUAUAUAUAUAUAGGAAUGAGUUCUAUGGAAAACAAAUAACUAGGGCNNNNNNNNNNNNNNNNNNNNNNNNNNNNNNNNNNNNNNNNNNNNNNNNNNNNNNNNNNNNNNNNNNNNNNNNNNNNNNNNNNNNNNNNNNNNNNNNNNNNNNNNNNNNNNNNNNNNNNNNNNNNNNNNNNNNNNNNNNNNNNNNNNNNNNNNNNNNNNNNNNNNNNNNNNNNNNNNNNNNNNNNNNNNNNNNNNNNNNNNNNNNNNNNNNNNNNNNNNNNNNNNNNNNNNNNNNNNNNNNNNNNNNNNNNNNNNNNNNNNNNNNNNNNNNNNNNNNNNNNNNNNNNNNNNNNNNNNNNNNNNNNNNNNNNNNNNNNNNNNNNNNNNNNNNNNNNNNNNNNNNNNNNNNNNNNNNNNNNNNNNNNNNNNNNNNNUGUUCUUACGGUGAACUCCAGGUGCAUGUUUAGCUCUGCCAUUGAAGGAUCUUGGUCUAAUACACAUCCGGGAAUCCGCUUCGCACAAGAUGGACAAAUGUUAGAUCAUAUAGCCAUACCGAGGGUUACGACCAAAUAUUGAUCUCCGAUGCUAAGUUAGAUUGCGAGUAAUAAAAUGUUAUGGUGUUGUGCGUGAAGGUUCUUACUAUCACUUUUCCCAUACCUAGUUAUCGUGUGUCUGAUGCUGGUUCCACGGGCUUGUAGUUUUGUCCGGUUCUUUCUCCAUUACCCAGUUUGUUAGUAGUCACGCCUUCUUUCCUAUUAUUAUUUUAUUGCUUCGUAUCCUCUCUUUUGUAUGUUUCCUGGGAUAUGGUUCAGAUAUUCGUGCAUGGUUACUUGAGCUUAGAUUCGUUUGUGACAGGUUGUAGUUUCUUCAUGUCUGACCUUGUAAGUACCGGGCCGAUUUUGGGUACUCUCGAAUUACCAGCCCGGGUAAACCAAUUAUAUAUAUAUANCCACAGUGAGUCAAUGUAAUUUUAUAACAAUCUACUUUUAUUAGUUUGUUUAAUGUGUGUGUGUGUAUAUAUAUAUAUAUAUAUCUUAUUUUUUCAUAUAAGAACAAAUAUACUAAAAUUUAUCUCUUGCUCUGAAUAGUGAUAUACAUGUCGUUUUUUUAUUUGUCCUAAUAUUUUGGUGACUUUUCCUACGGUUUUGGUUACAACUUUUCCUAGAGAAUUCUCCGAUCAUUCUUCAGUUUUUCUUAGAACCACAUUCAUGGAUUUUGGGCCUUCUCCAUUCCGUUUCUUCAAAUCAUGGCUUUAUUGAGAUGGGUUUGACAACGUUGUUCUUCAUACUUGAGAGAGAUUCAAUAGAGGUGGGGCUACUAACAGACUCCUAUCAGAUAAGCUUUGUUUUUUCAAAGAUGAUAUUAAAUCCUAGAGGAGGGCUAAUGUAAUGUCGCAAAAAUAUGAAGUAAAAAUAUCUGGUUUUUAAUUAACAAAGCCAUACAAUCAUUUGUUCAAACCAACCACUGGAUAUAAAUAGUCUCAAAACAUCAUAGUAUGUCAAACGGAUAACUUGGAAAUAAAUUUAGGUGAUAUAGUGCGAUCAAGCCGUACCAUUCCCUUUCGAACUAAAAGUGCCCGAAACAUUAAAUCACCAAAACCGGAAGCACAAAGCUUAGUGAGUUCCCAUAAAUUCCACAUACCAUACAUAACAUCGGGUCCCACCCACAAUACCGACCCCAUCCUACAUAUCGACCCCCCAUGUAACAUGUCCAACCUAGCAUAAUAGGCCCCACCCAACAAUAUGGGCCUCGCCCAAUCAUACGUUGAAGAGUCAAAAAGACACCUAGAAUCCUAUAUAUUAUUGUGACAAGACUCACCUCACACUCGAAUCAGAUCAACCACAGCCUAAACUAACCACAAGCUGGUGCUACAACCCACCUAUCAAAAUAUUCAAUAUUAGUCCUUAGUAUAUCCUCAAAACUAGCCAUUUGAGCAAAAGUUAACCAUUUCAAAAGUCAAUAGUCAAAAUCACCCAAGACAAGCUCCACGUCAUGGUCACCAAUUGGCCAUGUCGUGGAAGCCUUGCGACAAAACAGUCGUGGCAAAGCCAUCCACCACGUCGUGGAAAACAUGUUACCACAUCGUGUGAAAGAACCCCUUUCGUAAUUUACAUUAUAACUCAAAACAUGCGACAUGCUUAUUCAUAAACAUAUUUUACGUAUAUGGUUUUAUCACAAAAGACUAGAUACAAACCGACUAAUGAGGUUUUUACAAAGUUAUAUAUAUAUAUAUAUAUAUAUAUAUAUAUAUAGAGAGAGAGAGAGAGAGAGAGAGAGAGAGAGGUAGGUNAUAUUACAUAAUUUCCCAUGAAUUUAUACACUAAAUACAAAAGCUAUAAUGUUAUCUAUUCUACAUCUUUUAACAGUACAUAACUAUACAUGAUGCUUAUCACCUGCAAUAAUUAAACACUGAGAGGGUAAGCGGUGACGCUUGGUGAGUUCAAUAAUAGACAUAAUAUAACGUUAUGCUAUAUAUAUACAUCAAUGUGGUAGAAGCAAAGAGGAACAAGGAACAACAAAGGAAUAUGUGAAUCAUGUGAAAAGCUUUCCAUAUCAAUCGAUGAUUUGAUUCAAAGAUAUACAAUCAAUGAGACAUAACAAUUUCAAUACUUGAUAUACAUCAAUAAAGCCUCGGCCCAAAUGACACAGAAGACAUACAAUUUAUGAUUAACAUUUUGGUAGAUUUUGUAGGCUUUUAGCCCUAUCUAACCUUCUAACAAUGCCAUAAUGGUAGAAGUCAUUCUCUUACGAGACAUGCAAUACAUGGCCAGAGGCUACAUAAAAACCACUGUGAUACUAGUCCUUUCACUGAUCACAUGGUCAAAGGUAUAGCUUUGCUACUAUAAUAGCAUGGGAAAAUAACACGGAAAAGCACAUAGCACAUAUAACACAUAACAUACAAUUGUUGCUAUAUAUUGAACUCACCGUGAAAUAACCGAUUGAUAAAAUGGUAAUUUGGGCAGCACUUCGUUUCGAAAUAUGACUUUCUUUGACGAAUCCGGGGAUUUUAGUUAAAAUCCGGCUUUAUGCGGGCAAAGUUUCGACUUGAAAGUAUUAUUUUCUCGGGUCUUCGGUGCGCUAGGAUUUCGCGAAACUUCAAUAAGUCAUAACUUCUUUGUUAUAACCCGGAUUUCGAUGAGGUUUUCGCCUAAACGUUUCUAAUGAGAUAAUUUACAACUUUCAAUAACAUUAAUUCUACUUAUUUCCAACUUAAAUUUUACAUUUUCGCUAAUUUCAAUAUUUGACUUUUAAUUGGAAUCUCAUAAGACUUCCAAUACUUUUCUGAAUGAUUCUAAACAUAGUUUUACUUCAAUCUCAUAAAACUAUCUUGUUAGAACUCAAUGCUCAAAACCAUAUAUUAAUUAAUAAUAUUCAUUUUAAAAUUAACAAAACAGGAUAACUGAACGUGUAUGUUACAUCGUGGCAACUGAGCAGAGACAACUUAAUGAAUUAAACUCUUAUCCCUUUACUCCAAGAGCUCCAAAUCACAUAUCUGAAUCUCCUCAAAUCCUUUAUGGAUAAAGUUUCCAACUUUAUCCAUUAAUACAUUCCAAUAAGGCAUGAUCUUUAAUCCUAAGCUAUUAAGAGUUGCACCAGUUGCAUGGACACCAUGCUUAGUCAUGUAAGACCACUUUCCAACCAAUACCAUGGUCUAGAAGCUAGAUUAAGCAUUAAAAGGAUAUAGAGUUUACUGAAACUCCAAAGAUAAUUAGAUUGGUACUAAGAAGCUCAUAAAAUGACCUAAAACAAGAUUUAAAGACAAAAUGAGCUAGGUUUACACUUUAUACCUCUACAAGGUCAAAAAUGAGAUGGAGAUGCUAUAUCCAAGCCAAAACUAAGUUUACCAAACACAAGACGGACUCCUUCUUGUUUCAAGCUUCAUAAAAAUGACUUCACACUCUCAAAACACACACAAAGAGGCCAAGUUUUGGGUGGAGAUCAUUUUUAGAGAAUCUAGAUUGUCAAAUGAUGAAGCUCUAGGAGUUAGUGCCUUUAAAUAGAGCACUGAUCUCAGAAUCUAGGGUUCAGAACCCUAUUCGCCACCACAUUGUGGCCAAGGCCUUGCCACGUUGUGGUGGUUUGCGGAUGUGCAUUUUCUGAACCGGGCUACCACAUCAUCGCCUAGUUGAAAUCCCAAAACUUAAAUAAUGAAAUUAAUUUCAGAAGAACCAUACCCGAAAACGGGUGUUAUAACUCUUCCCCACUUGAAUCAGAUUUACUUCUUGAGUUUAGGAUAACGUUCCUUCAUCUCAUCUUCGGGUUCCGAAGUCUAUUUGGAACCCUUCUGUUGCUACCAUUGCACCUUCACCACACCCACAUCCUUGUUUCCCAAGGUCUUCAUCUUCCUGUCAACAAUUGUAACAGGUCUCUCCACAUAAUUCUGUUGCUCGUCGAUCUAGAUGUAAUCCAAAGGAACCACUAUGGAGUCAUCGGCUAAACACUUCUACAAAUGAAAGAUCUGGAAAGUGUUGUGGAUCUGGCUUAGCUCGGCAGGUAGAUCCAAUCGAUAUACAACCUUGCCCACCUGGAAGGUAACCCUAAAGGGUCCAAUAAAUCUAGGCCCCAAAUUGCCCCACUUCUAAAAUCGGAUGACACCCUUCCAAGGUGACGCCUUCAGAAGCACAAGAUUCCUCACCUGAAACUCGAGGUCGAAACGAUGUCGAUCGACAUAACUCUUCUGCAUGCUCUCCACGGUCCGUAAUAUACCACAUACUUGUUGAAUCAGCCUUGUAGUAUUGAGCACUACCUCAGUGGUCCCCAUCACACACUAGACGACUUCACCUUAAUAAAUCGGGUUCUGACACCUCCUCCCAUACAUCAGCUCAAAGGGUGGCAUACCAAUGUUAGCGUGAUAAAUAUUGUUGUAAGAGAAUAUGGCCAAUAGAAGAUAAGUAUCCCAGCUCCCACCAAUUUCUAAUAUACACACACCCAACAUAUCCCUAAGGUUAUGAAUGAUCUAUUCACUCUGUCCAUUAGUCUGUAGGUGGUAUGCGGUACUGAAAAGCAAUUGAGUAACCAGCUCCUCAUAAAAUGUACGUCGUGAUAAGAAAUGACCGAAACUAUUACUCCGUUUCAUGAAACCUUCUACUUGAUGUAGAUCUCAGCUAGCUUCUCUAUAGAUGAACUCUCUUGAAUCGGGAUAAAGUAGGCACUCUUGGUCAACCUAUCGACAAUGACCUAGAGAGAAUCAAUCCUGCAUGUCGUUCUUGGCAACUUUGUAAUAAAAUCCAAAGUGAUCUCUUCCCAUUUACACAUGGGAAUGGAAACGACGAAAUGUUUCCAUGGGGUCUCUGAUCUUCGACCUUGACUUUUCGGCAAGUCAUGCACCACUCUACAUACCAAGCUAUUUCCAUAUUCAUACACGGCCACCAAUAGGUACCUCUCAAAUAUCUAAACAUAUUCAUGGCACCUGGGUGGAUCGAAAACUCUGAAUUGUGUGCUUCUUCGAACAAGGUCUGCCUAACCCACCAGAAGAAGGAACCGGAAACAUGUCGCACCAAGUCAACAAACCCCGAGUAUCUCUGACGAAUAAAGGAAUAUGAAACCUAAUAUUCUCUUUCUUCCAAUUCACUUCCUUCAAUCCCUCAAAAUGUACCUCCAUGAUUAAAUCUAAUAGUGGCGAAGUAAUAACCAUCCUCAAGCAUAGGUCUCAGAUAGGAGUACUCGUCGCCUAGGUUGAUAUCAAAUCUUAUAGUCGUAAUCCUUGACCAUGUCUAACCAUCGACGUUUCCUCAUAUUUAUAUUCGGUUGAUCCAUCAAAUACCUCAAACUCUUGUGAUUUGUGUAGAUGGUACACCAGACCCUAUACAUAUAAUGCCGCUAAAUCUUGAGGACGAAAACCAAGACCCCUAACUCUAGAUCACAAGUAGGGUGAUUUGCCUCGUGAGGAUUCAACUAUCUUGAAGCGUAAACAAUCACGUGACCCCUAUGCAUAAGCACUGAACCCAAUCCCAAAAUCAAUGCAUCACAAUAAACCACAAAAUCAUCCAUGCCCUCGGGAAGGGUCAGUUCAGGGCCUCACACAAUCUCAACCUCAAGGUCUCAAAUUUCGCAUGCUGUUCAGGCCACCACCGAAAAGGAACAUUCUUCUUUGCCAAUCGGGUCAACAUAAUAACAAUAUUGGAGAAAUCCUAGAUGAACCUCUGGAUCGAACAAUAUACCAUCUUGGUUCACAAGGUGACCCAAGAAAUGCACCUCACACAACUAGAAUUCGCACUUGUAGAACUUGGCAUAAAGCCUCUCCCUCCUCAAAGUCUCCAUAACCUAUCACAAGUGCUCCUCAUGCUGCUCCUUGGUCUUAGAAUAGACCAAGAUCAAUAAAUACAAUCACACAUCGGUCCAACAAUGGCCUGCACACCUCGUUCAUGAGAUCCAUGAAUGUUUUCGGUGCGUUGGUGAGCCCGAAUAGCAUCACCACAUACUCGUAAUGCCCAUAACAAGUUCUGAAGGCCGUCUUUUGCACAUCGUCAUCCCUGACCCUCAUCUGAUGAUAUCCGGAUCUCAAAUAAAUCUUGGAGAACCAAGACGCACCCUGAAUCUGAUCAUAAAAAUCGUCAAUCCUCGGAAUUGGGUAAUGAUUCUUAACCAUCAACUUGUUCAACUCCCUAUAAUCAAUACACAUCAUGUGCGAACCAUCAUUUUUCUUCACUAACAAGAACGAUGCCCCCCACAGUGAACUGCUCGGGCAUAUGAAUCCCUUGUCUAACAGCUCUUGUAACUAGGUAGACAAUCCCUAAAUCUCUAGUGGUACUAGGCAAUACGACGCAUUGGUUAUCGUAGUCGCACCGGGAGCCAAAUCAAUCCGGAACUCUACUUGCCUCUCUAGAGGCACUCCCGGUAAAUCUUCAGGAAAUACAUCUUGUAACACCCCAAAAAUAAUAAGUAAAAUUUUUUAUAUUUAAAUUCAACGAAAACCAUCAUUCACCCAUUUCAAAAACCAAUAAAGUAUGCCAAUGUAGAAAUGGUUAUCAGCGUACAAUCAAAAUCAUAGGAUGCGGAACAUUGGUGGAUAUUGUGCGAUCAUGUCCGACCCUUCCCCUUCGAACCAGAGGCACCUGAAAACAUAAACAUAAACUGUAAACACAAAGCUUAGCGAGUUUCCCCAAAAUACUUCAUACCAUACAUACAAUAGGCCCUGCCCGAUACAAAUCUGUUACUAACAUGCGAUAGGACCCACCCAACAUAUUCAUCAGGCCCCGCUUGGCAUCGGGCCCUGCCCAGUAUACACACAAACUCAUACAAUACAUGCAAGAGUCACACAGGCAGCUAUAAUCCUAUAAAAAAAUCAAUGGGUCGACAUUCGUGCCUUCGAACCGCAAAUGCUAUGAGGAGACUCACCUCAACUGAAGAUAUCUGAAUCACACAUGCACAGUUGCUACAAAGGCUCCUCACAUUGAACAUAUCUAAAACCAACCCUAAUUAAUAAUUAGGGUAAUAACCCAUAAUAAAAGGUCCAAAUCAAAUCCUCUUACGAAGGGUAAAAUACCAUUCUACCCUUCCAAGUCUAUACCCAGUCAAACAUAACCCACAACCCAAAAAUGUUCCAAAAGCAUUUCUUGGAUUACGUCAUGCAUACUCCUUCCUUACACCAUAUGUACUGAGUGUCCACAUAAAAUGUUACGGAGCAAACCCAUUAUGCCUUGCAUACUCAGAGGCUACGCAAUGCUUAGUCAUAUAUUAUCCAAAACCACUUUUAAGCUCUUAAUACCUGAAGACUAUAUGUCUAACUCACUAAUCUUAAUCUUGGGAAGGUCUUAACUGAUAAAGUCGACAAAUUUAAAAUUUUUCAUGGCUUAAUAGAGCCUAAAACCAAACCCUAGGUCCAAAAACACACUUUAAUACCCUCAAACUCUGGCAUGAGUGAGAAAUAGAAAUGACUUCAUUUUUAUGACACAAGAUCAUCAAAACCAACAUAAAGUAACAAACUUGAGCUCUGGAGUAGCUUUUAGUCACAAGAACCAAAACCAUGGGACCAAAAGCAUGCAAAUCUUAAGCUAGACUAGAUCUAAGACAUAGAACCAUAAAGGUGAGAGGUUUAUACCUCUAGAAGCUAGUAAAUGUGACGAAGGCCCUGGAUCUUCAAGCUCUAGCCACAAUAAUCCUCAAAGAAAACUUCUGCUCCUUCACUGUGCACCAAAAACACACAAAAGAGGCUUACACAAGAUAAUAGAGGAUUAGGGUUUCGAAGCACUGGUUGGGGAGGAUGGAGGCUGAACAUGGUGAGGCCUCAAGGGACUUCAGGUCCUUAAAUAAGGGCUCAACCCUAAAAUUUAGGGCUUAAGAUAUGCAUGAGUAUGCCUUGCAUUCUCCUUACAUACUCCCAACAUACGUGACAAAGCUCGUGUUCAUGUUAAAUGACCUACGCCUAACAUACUCGUCAAGUACGCCAUGCCUAAGGACUAAUUUUUCAAUGAAUUUAAUAAUUAAUCUAGAACUGAAAAUACCUAGAAACAUAUGUUACACAUCUGUGAAGUCUCGAAUGAUAGGGACAAUAUCUGCGAUCUUCAUUACUACAACAUGAGUAUCUAUAACAUAUGCCAAAAAUUUGGUGCAUCCAUGCUGAAGAUAUGUCCUAGCUUGCGCAGCUGAGCAAAUAGUUGGUCCAUACUGAGUACCUUCACCAUAAAUAACUAGUUCUCCCCCAUUUGGGGUUCUAACCCUCACCAAAUGAUGCUUACAAUCGAUCAUAGCCCCAUACUAGCUCAACCAAUCCAUGCCCACAAUAAUUUUUGUCCCACGAAGAGGAAUACGAACCUGGUAUGUCAGAUACUUUUCGUGAAAUAUAUUGAGAACGCAACCUCGAUGGACUCUUGAAGCAAUCACGUACGAGUUUUAGCAAUCUCAACCUCUAAUGGAAAUCCAACACUUCCAUAGUGUCACUAAACUUCUUGCUAAGCGCAAGAGAUACAAAAGAUCGGGUAGCCCCCGAAUCGAAAAGAACAUGAACAGUCACACCAUAUACUACAAACAUCUCUACUUACAAGAAGAUAAAACAUAAUCAUAAAUAACGAAGAUAGGAAAAGAUAUAUAAGGGAUACAUACCAGUGAAAAUGUCUGGUGCUGCUCGGGCCUUCUCGUUCAUCAACUAGAAAGCUCUGCUCUUCCAUACCUAAGCAUCUGCCUUGCCCUCACGACUAUCAGUAAUCCUCAAUGUGGCUUGAGCGGGUUCCCUCACCGCUCCACCUAGAAAUCUCGAGAAAUCAUUCUUCUUUUGGCACAUUUGAUUACAGUGGAAGCAUAUUAGUGCUCCCCACAUGCAAUCUCUAUUGUAGUUCCCAGUCUAGAUGCAAUUGAAGUUGUGACGUCUCCAAGUUCACGGUCAUUUUAAAAAAUUUAUUUAUGCUUAUUUGAAAAUCAAAUUAUUCAUUUUUAAAGAAUAAUAUUGCGGAAUUUGUUCCCAGAAAACAUGAUAAGUAUAUUAUCAAAGCAUUUUCGAAGAAAUGUAUUUUGUUUAUAUUAAAACUUUGGGAUCUCAUCGUCAAUACAUAAACAUAAGCACAAACAGACCUUACAUUCAUUUACACUAGUGAUAUACAUCUCGUUUAAUCUCUCAGAGUAAUGUAGCUUUGUAUCGACAACUGUGAUACAAAUAAACUGAGUGGGUCGGGUUGGGAAACCUGGUAAGUACAUAGGGCUUUCAACCCACAAUAAAGUUAUUAUGUUUCAUCAUCAAACAAUUAACCCAAUUACCCAUCCCCAUUAUCUUCUUUAUUCUUAAGUAUCUUCCCUAAGAAUCAUCUAUCAUUCACUCCUUCACUCCUAAGGAUUGUACUAAGGAAUAGGCUCAAAGUCCAUCGUUGCCAAGGUUUGUAUAACAGGAACUAAGUCCAUAGUUGCUGAUGUUAUUUGUUAGGCACUAAGUCCAUAGCUGCCAGGGUUUAUCUCUUUUAUUGACAAUAUUAUUUUAGGGAGUCCACCCACAAUACAUGUCAAUGGGUUUUUAAAGUACAUCUGAUGAACAUAUCGUUCACAACACCUACAGGUUGCGAGCCUGCUAGUGUUCCACUAGACUGUCUAGAAUAGUUCGUAGUUGCUAUCUAUACACUGCUAGAUGAAUGGGCCAUCACUUGGGUCAUCGCUUCUCAUCAUCUUUCACCUCUCAUCAUCUAUAUCAUAUUUCUUCUCUCAUCUUUCAUCUCUCAUCUCAUCUUAUCUUUAAUCUACCCAUCUUUACCCAUCAUAAAUAUAGGUAUAAAAUACGUAUACAGUUUAAAUCGAAUAUAACAUGUAUAUUUUGUUCAUCCAGCAUAGAUAUCAAGAACACAAAUAAUAUGCACACAUAGCACGUAAUUUAUAUUAAAUACUUCAUAUCUAUGUGUAAGAUGAAAGUAAAUGUGCACUCACUUGUUAAAAUGAUGAUUCCAAACUUGGGUAGCGCUUCACUUCUAACAAUUCUAUUUACCUUCGGUGAAACCUAGUAUCAUUAUUGCUUAGAUUUUAGUCUAAUAUUUAUAGCGACUAUUUACGAGUGAUAUUGUUUUAUAAGUGUUAAACAAUACUUUUCAACCACUAUGUAUAGACAGGGGCCAAACAUGAAACACUGAAGGGUAAGACCAUUUUGGCAUUUAGCACUUCUAAAAUCCAACAACCCUAUGUGGCCUUCAAACCAAAUUCCUCAUACUGCGAGUAGUUAAAAUAUAUUAUAAUAACAAUUUGUAUAUUAUAUUUUAUCAUAUAUUUAUUUUUUAUAAGUUCAUAAUAAUGAUAUUGAACUUAAACAUAAGCUAUACUUAAAGUAGGAUAAUCAUAACUCGCUUACUAGGAGGUUUGGCUAGGAAUCGUGCUUUGCGGGGGCAGAACUUCCGAGCCGAAAGCUCUUCUUCUUAGAGCCUUCUGGCGCUCUGAGACUUGCCUUUAGCACUUGGAAGUUACUAAGGCUUGGGAUGGGUUUAGAGAGAUGUUUGAGAGAUAAAGAAUGGGAGAGGUGUGAAGGAAAUGGAAGAUUUGCGCCUCUAUUUAUAGGCUGGGAAAUGGCCCAACUCGGCGAGUUCUGAGCCUCCGACUCGUCGAGUUGAGUGCCAAGUGUCACCAUCUUGUGGAAAUGCAUGGGGAGGAAACAAUGGUCAGGAUUGUGCUGUUGGAUUAGGUGUCUAAGCCCAUAACUAUUUGUUAUGUACUUGACCCGAUUGUGAACAUGGUACUUUUGGAUUGCCUUCACCAUAGCAAGUGAUAGGAUGAACUAAGGAGAAAAAGGAUUAAUUAUGAUUUAUUAAUAUAUUAUAUGAAUAAUAUAUUAAAAGAGAAAUCAUAUUGUUUAAUUAAUAUUAGUUAAGAAUUAAUAAGAAUUAAUUUUGUGGCUAAAAGAGAUUAAUUAAAUAAAGGGGACUGAUAUUGCAAUUAUAUGAUAGUUGCAAAUUGGGCUAUGGAUUCCUAAUGGAAAGGCGAUUGGACGAAAUCUAUGGGAAGCCCAUAUGGAUUUCGUCCAAGGGAUUUCUAGGGGAACUCCAUGAGUUGCUUAAGGCCUAAGCAGAGAGUUAGGGUUUCACCUGAAACCCUAGUAGUCCACACAAGUAUAUAAACACCCCUAAGGCUCCUAAAAACGUGGCUAAGUGAUCCCUUAGGGUUCUUGGACGUUUUUGUGCCUUCUCCUACUUCUCUUUGUUCAUCUUGUUGCUCAUGGUGUUUGUGACUCCAUUAGAGGUGCAACAUUUGAGGCACUAAGCUUUCAAAGGUCAAGAUCAAGAGGAAUUGAGAUUGUUAUUAGUACAUAACAACCAAGGUAAUAUCUAAACCCUUUUAUUAUGAUAAUAUCGAUUAUUAUAUACUAGAUCUAGGGUUUAUGAGCUUUGGAUCAUUAUUGCAUGUUCAUUAGACAAGCUAGACCCAAAUCUUUAGGGUUUGCAUGUACACCAUAGGAUUGAUGUAGUGCUCAUAACCCAUCAGUGGUAUCAGAGCCUAGGCUGUUUAUUUGAUGUAUUUGAUGCUUUAUAUGAUCAUUCUUGGCAUGAAAAUUGAAUUUUUUGUCCUCUGCCUGAAUGGCUCGGCGAGUCAGUGGAUGAACUCGGCGAUUCAGCCAGACUCGGCGAGUCCAGGGGUCAGACAGAGGAAAUCUCAGGAUUUUUACUGAUUUGGUUGUGGGAUAGUUACCAUAAAUGUUUUUUUUUGAUAAAAUCUGAUUUUUAUUGAUAUUAUGUGAUUAUCCUUACCAAAAUAAUAGAUAAUUGUCAAAUUACUUAGAUAAUCAUUACCUUAUGUGAUAAACUUGAUUUAUUUGAGUUAUUUGAUUUGAAUUAUCUUACAAGUAAUUAAAUUAGGUCAUACUUAAAUAAUCCCCAAUUAUUUGAGUAAUUGAAUUAUUUGUAAUUUGAUCUAGAUAGUUUUGAAAAGUUUCAAAACUUGCCCUCAAGUUUUGGAAUAUAAAUUUUUAAUUAAAAGUUCUAAUUUUAAAAAUGUUAAAUGCUAAAACCCUAGUUUUGAAAAGUUCAAAUUACACCAUUAUGGUUUUAUUAAAUUAAUUAAGUGUAUAAUUAAAAGAGAGUUAAUAAAUCCAUAAUGAUAUGGUUUAUAUUUAAUUAAAUUAAAAAGUAUAAUUUAUUAAAUUAGACCAUCUAGUAUUUUAAAAGUGUAAAAUACAUCCUUAUACUAUAUAUAAAAUUAACAGUCUAAUAUUAUAUAAGUAUAAGUAAAAUGUCAGUCUUACCGUUAGUAGGCCUCAUUCACGAAGCUGGUCUAUAAGGGGUGUUUAAGGAAGCAGCCUGUAAAAUGACCGCCAUUGGGUAUCCACUCUUACCCACCACACUCUUGACUAGUGGAGGGUCGUUAGCCGAACGGGUAGGAUAGGACACAACCUUCCAUUAUAAGUAUAAUGAAAUACAAAGUAACUAAAUGUUUUAUAAAUUCCCAAAUCUUAGUUACUUUAGGAAAAAUGUGGAGUUGGUGCUAUUCCAUGAAAUUACACUUUGUACCCUUGCUAAGACAUUAGUGGAGCGUGUGUGAUUAACCAGCACACUAAUUGGGCUCUAAGCAAAGGUGAAAAAGGGUGACUCGAUGUUUUUCAUAGAUCGAUGGAGUGUGUGUGCUUAACCGAAACGUUGAUUAGGUGACUGUAACAUUAGGGGCACCAUGUAUAUUUGCAUUGUUAUCCACAACUUGUUUGUGAUCCUCGGCAUCCCAGUCACAAAUGAAGGGCACACUCGAGAUUUAAAAAUGCAAUUGAAAAGUUCAAUGAAUCUCAAAAAAUCUAGGAGUUUUAAUUCAUUUAAAACUUAAUUUUCAAUUUCUGUGUUUCAUGGUGGAAAUUGGUAAAUCGUCAUUUACCUACCUUCAAAUGUUCUGCAGUUUGCAUUACAGCAUCCUUCUUCCAAAUUGUAGACUAUUGUGUUAGGUCCUAGCCUUGAUAUUUCAUUUGGGUGUUAUAUUAAGGAUUCUAAUCAACUAACUUGAAUUUCUCCCGUUUUGUAGAUGUCAAAGUCUAACAACUAUGGUCUUCCUGAAUCCGUUGGACAAAGCUUUCCACAUGAAGAUGAUGUUCCAUGAUUGGAUUGUGGAAAUGGAAAUCAUGCUUCACUUCCUCCAUCUCCUCCGAUAAUUCUUCUUGACCUACGUGUUCGAUGACUUGAAAAGUUCAAGGUCACUCAAGCCCUAUUGGCAAAAAGACAUAAAGAUGGAAAGUUUGUAUGUGGUCAUGUGUUGGAUAUGAAGUUGCAUAUUGAUAAAUUAGGAAUGUUGGGUGUCGAUGUCUCAAGGAAGUUGGUUGUUGACUUGGUUCUUCAGUCACUUCCCGAAUCAUAUAGUGAGCUCAUUAGAGAGUACUAUGUGAUGGACCACGACGUAACCCUCAUUGAUUUGAGUUAUUUGCUUAUUGAUGUUGAAUCGGAGAUGAUUUGGCGCACUGGUCAAGCAAAUUUGUAUGGUAAAUCAAUGUCCCAUCCUUCUAUGGGAAAUGGCAACAUUGGAAGUCCAGAAAAGUUUUCUCUACACAAGAGAAAGGCUGAGUCUGAGAUUGUCCUGUGUGCUAUUCCGAAGAGGUCCACUUGUUUCUAUUGCCAAGAAAAGGGGCAUUGGUUACGAAGCUGCCGCAAUUAUCUGAAGGAUCUUGAAGAUGGGAGAGUCAAGCUGUAUGAAUCUGCUUCAGGUAAAAUCCACUAUCUAACUCUAUUAAGUUCCUAUUGUUAUAUGCUUAAUACAUGAUGUGAUAAGAUUGCAUUUUGAUGUUUUGUAGGAUCGAAGAAAAGAGAGGAAGCUUAAAGAAAAAGCGAGCUGAGUCUAAUCGCGAAGAAAUGGAUUUCGAUCGCAUGAUUCGAUGAUUGGAUUUUUGAGUUGCUGCUAAGAAUUAUGAUAGAUUGAUUAGGAAUAUGUAAUAGCAUAGUUUUCAUUUGAUUUUGCAUUAUAAGGAUAAAUUUUCCUACAUUGUAAGGAUAAAUUUUCCGCACCUUUUAUAAAUAAAAUAAAUUUUGAGUUUUGUCUUAUUUAUAUAUCCUUGCAAUGUUAUUUAUGAAAAUUGAUGCUUGUGUGUUUAUAUUGUAAGCAAUAUUAAGUGGAUGUGAUUCUUAGUUAUGUUAUUUAUGGUAGUGUCAUAAUUUUUCUAAGUAAGGGAAGAUUCCUAUCACCCAAGUUUCAAUUGGACAGAAGCUUGGAAUCACAUGAUUUGAAUCAUGUGAUGUAUGGAAAUCUUGGUACUUGAGAAAUUAAGACUAAUUCCUUACUCACACAAGUAUGUGAGUUAAGUGAAGGACUAAAGGAUCCAGUACGCAAUGUUGUGCACUGGUCAAGUCCACCACAAAUAACAAUAAGAUUAUUCGUCAUGAUUUACUAAAAGUCUGGUAAAUGUGGUUAUGCUUACAUGAUUAAGUAUAAUUCUAAAUCAUUGAAAAGUUUCAACGAAUGGCAUAACGAAUAAGAAGAAUCAAUUAGCCAAAAAAAAAUAAAAGUUUCUCCAAUCUAGAAAGAAUGGAGAGUACUUUUGUAUCAUGUUUUAUGAUUGUCUCAUUGAUUGUGAAAUCAUAUCACAAUUGAUCCUCUACGUAAAUCUUAGUGCACUAGUAAAGAGGAAUCGAAAAUUGUUGAAAUGGUUAAAUCAAUAGGUGAAUCAUACUUUGUUCCAAAAUCAAGUAUUAGAGUCAUACUCCAAGAUUGUGACUUGAGUGACACAUCUUAAGAAGUUUUAACACACUCAUCAAAUUUAGAGUAGAAAAUUGUUUUUUUUUUUCUUACUCUUGCACAUUUGAAAUUGGUAAGUUGUGAUGUCUUGGAUAAGACAAAGACCAACUAAGACCAAUUGUGUGUAGUUGUUUUUCUUGAUAAGAAUCCGCACAAACUCUUGAAUAAUUUUUUUUUUGUCAAGAAAUGUUUCUUGACAAGAGAAUCUUGUAUGUCAAGAGUUUAGUGGGCGUCUAAAUGAUCUUGAAAAGGUUUAAGAACUAAUCAAGAGUAAAAUCAUUAGACACUAGCACACGACUUGAGGUUUGUAACCUAUCGUGCUGACACAUUUAGUUUCUGUGCUAUUCCAGUAAAGUUACUUAUGCACAUGAGUUCUACGAGUUCUCAAUAAACUGCAUAAAGACAAGCACCUUGUUCAAUGAAAGUACAUUGACUAGUAUAGGUGAGCUGCUAAAUAACUUGGAAGCAAUGGUGGGACCCAUGAUGGCAAGAAAUUAAGAAUGAACAAGUUCUGUCCGUAAGAGUUUAGAUUUGUCACAAACAUUAUCUUAUGAUUAUGGUUACGACAAAUUCACAUGGAUAAGAGCACAUACACCAUAAAAUCUAAGUUUCAUAAGGUUUCUCUCCUAAAUGAAAAUGAUUGUGAGGAAAUGCUUUCAUUAGGAAGAUUUUAAGGAGUUAGUUGUUGUGUAAGUUGCAUUCUCAAAUUCGAUUAUGAUUACGACAUCCCUCUUCAUAGUUCGAAUUGUUAGAUUUGGCAAUUAGUUUUCACAUUUAAGACUUAUUGGUAUAAGUGCUGAAAUUGUUGAGACACAUAUAUAAGCUAUCUAAGGAAAGGUGUAUGAGUUUGAGAAGCUUAGAUAAAGGCUUAUCGAAGCAUGUCGUAUUAGAAAUAUGAUAUUUUGAAGUCAAUAAGUAUUGUUUUCUAGAAGUCCAAAUGUUUUAUGAAUACGUAUCAAAGCUAGUGGGAGCAUAAAUGUUAUGUUGGUAUGGAUAUAAUUAUCAUGUUAGUGGGAGCAUGAUUAUUAUUUUAAGUGUUGCAUGUUAGCAAUAUUAAUUAUAGAAAACAAAAGUUUCACUUUGAAAAGUUUUAGGGGUUGAAAAGUUGUUUUGCUAUAAUUAAAGGAGAGAAUAUUAUACUUCGUUUCGAAAUCUAAAAGCUUGGAUCGAGAAAUUUUAAUCAAAUUUAGUCAAAGGACAUAUAUGGAUGUUAUGUUGAAAAGAUUCAACUUAAAAGGAUUCUAUAUAUGACAAUAUUAUAGCAAGGAACUGGUAAAGUAUCACGUUUUUCAUUAUGAAUCAUGUCCCAUACGUUUCGGGUAUAGGAUCGAUUGCAUAUGCUGUAAUAUUCGACUGUUUUAAAAUUUUCCAAAUGCCUAGGGCAUUAAGUGGGAAAAAGGGACUAGAACCGGAUUGAAUAAAAUAAUUAAACAACUAUCAACGACAAUCUAAGGUUCGCUAAUGAUUGGCCGCUUGUGAGCAGUUGGAAGUAUAGUAAUGAAUGGACUAUAUCGUAACUAUUAUGAAUAGAUAAGACUCUAUUCACAAUAAGUUGUUAUAUGGAAAAUAUGGAAAUGUAUCCAUAUUGGGAAUUGGACGUUAAGAAUUUACGUCUAGAUUAGAAAGUUUUAUGCAAGAAGGAUGCUCAAAGGAAUGUACUUUGAAUGUGAGACUUCACAUCUAUGGAAUUGUCUUGUAACUAUCCCCAAUAGAGCACUUUGUAAUUUCAUUCGAAAAGACUUGGUGACUUUUGUGCAAUAAGAUUACAAAAGGGAUCAUUACAUUAAAUGUUAGAAUCUAACAUAUUCUAGUAGUGGCGAGAAUUUUGUUCUUACACUAACGAUAAGGAUUAGGGAUAUUGUGAAAUGAGCAUCAUUGGAAAUGUUUUUCAAUUGAUAUAUUUCACAAAGUAUGGACCAUAGGUAAACAGAGUGUGCAUGCUUGGUGCAUGGGACAACUACUGUUAUAAGUUGAUUAUCUGAAACAUUAUGCAAUGAAUAAUGUGUAAUCAAUAUGGUGACUAAAUAAAAGGAGUUUUAUUUAUACUCAAGAGUUUGGGGUCAUAUUAGAUUCGAUUAUUCUUGUGUUUCACUUUGCAUGUUUUGACUUCCCGAAUAAUAAGAUUAUUCAAACCAUCCAUAGUCACUCAUACUUUGGAAGUAGGUAUGAAAGAAGACUGUCAUGAAUUGGAUUGUAGAUUGUCUAAAGUGUAUUAGACAUAGCAAAGGUUUGCUGCAACGUUCAUGAGUGCUUAUGAAUAUGAUUUGAGCAUUGGAUUAAACCCACGCUCACUUGGAUCGCUUCAUGGAUUUUAUCACGAGUGAUUGGUGAGACGAUAAUAUCUUAUAUUCUUGAANAUACAUGUGAUGUAUUUUGCAAGUCGUUUGCACAUUGAUAAUGUGUAAACGCACCGGUAACUUGAUGUUAUAAAACAUAUUGUUGUGUGUGAUUUGAUGAGUAGGUACAAGCGAGCAUUUGAGUCAAAGUUUAUCCAUUCCAUUUACCCAAAGUGGAAUAAAAGCAAUAUAUGUGGGACCCUCGAUGAUUUAAUGAUGACACUCCUAAGCGCUUGGCCAAGCCGGGUCUAAGUUGAUGUGUUCAAUUGUAGUCUGUUGUCAGUCGUCAUAAAUCGGAAAUCGGGAAACAACAAAUGAACAUAGAGUAUGAUUAAAAUCCAUGUCUCAGUUCAUACGAUAUCUAGNGAUACCUUAUUAAAGGACACAUUACUGAUAAGAUCAGAGUUCGACAACGGCUUUUGAAAGCUACGAUUGUUGAUCAGGUUCUGAAGUCAUAUGCAAUAUAGUUGUUAGACUUAUCCAAGUGGGAGACUAUUGGAUUAGGUGUCUAAGCCCAUAACUAUUUUGGUAUGUACUUGACCCAAUUGUGAGCAUGGUCCUUUUGAGUUGCCUUCACCAUAGCAACUGAUAGGAUGAACUAAGGAGAAAGAGGAUUAAUUAUGAUUUAUUAAUAUAUUAUAUGAAUAAUAUAUUAAAAGAGAAAUCAUAUUGUUUAAUUAAUAUUAGUCAAGAAUUAAUAAGAAUUAAUUUUGUGGCUAAAAGAGAUUAAUUAAAUAAAGGAGACUGAUAUUGCAAUUAUAUGAUAGUUGCAAAUUGGACUAUGGAUUCCUAAUGGAAAGGGGAUUGGACGAAAUCUAUGGGAAGCCCAUAUAGAUUUCGUCCAAGGAAUUUCUAGGGGAACUCCAUGGGUUGCUUAAGGCCUAAACAGAGAAUUAGAGUUUCACCUGAAACCCUAGCAGCCCACACAAGUAUAUAAAGACCCCUAAGGCUCCCAAAACGUGGCUAAGUGAUCCCUUAGGGUUCUUGGAUGUUUUUGUGCCUUCUCCUACUUCUCUUUGUUCAUCUUGUUGCUCAUGGUGUUUGUGACUCCAUUAGAGGUGCAACAUUUGAGGCACUAAGCUUUCAAAGAUCAAGAUCAAGAGGAAUUGAUAUUGUUAUUACUACAUAACAAUCAAGGUAAUAUCUAAACCCUUGUAUUAUGAUUAUAUCGACUAUUAUAUGUUAGAUCUAGGGUUUUUGAGCAUUGGAUGAUUAUUGCAUGUUCAUUAUACAAACUAGAUCCAAAGCUUUAGAGUUUGCACGUACACCAUAGGAUUGAUGUAGUGCUCAUAACCCAUCAUGUGCCACGUGUCACUCGCAGAUUACUCCAAAAACUAAUUAUGUUCUAAAAUAUGUAACUUUCGCAUACGAGAUCCGUUUUUGAUGUUCUUUAUAUCCACGCGUAGGCAAAGACGUACUAUUAUAUUUCGUUUAGACUAUGUCGGCUAGUGUUGACUUUAUUUUGAAGUUAUAUUUUAACUAGCUUAGACAGGUAGUUAAACAUUCAUAACUUUGUCAGCCGACAUCCGCUUUCGUCUGUCUUUAUAUAGUUGAGCUCCUAUUACUGAGAUAUUCAAUUCUCAUUUAGGUUGUUUCGGCUAAAAAUUGAUUGAUCUAAAAUUCGAAUUCUGGGUUGUGCAUUGCUAUGUUAAAUCUUAGAAAAAAUCAUAACUUCCUCAUACGAAGUCAGAUUUGGACGUUCUUUUUAUGUACGUUCUCGGUUUAAAAUAUACUAUGACUUUCGCUUAGAUCCCUAAGGCUAAAAUGUAAUUUAUCAAAAAUUCACUUUUUACAUUACACGGUGCCGUGUAGGUUUAGUCGUAAAACUUUGACAUAUCAGAACUUCUUUGCUAUAACUCGGAUUUCAGCGUUCUUUAUAUGUACGGAACCCUUGUGACAUAUACUAUAACUUAGUUAACAUUAUUUAUUUUAAAUACUUUGCUAUAAAAAGUCAUUUUUGACGCUUAUUGUCUUUAAAUUGACUACCCUUCUCACGACAUCUCCCCUCAUGUGCCCUCCCAUACUUUCAAGAUCGGCCAUGACUUUGCUGACCUAAAGGUCGAGAGUCAAAAGUCUUAGGUAUCUUUUUUGGACCCUCAACUAUUUGAACCUGUGCUGGCUUGCACUUCAUCCGAAGCUCCAACUCAAUCACCCGCUCCCGGUCUGUAUCAUUCAUGUCCUCUAGGGUCCUGCAUCCUGAAGUACUAAAAAAAAUCCUUUAUAUGACCCCUCGGCAUGUUAUGGUACCUCGUCUUCUCCAUUUCCUCAUUCACCACAUACUGCGGAACCAAAAAAGUUCUCCCCCUAAACAUGGAAGUGAUCUCUGCCAUAGUCUCUGCUGUCUAGAAAAGAUCCUGCAACUCCCUUGCCAACUGUUUCACCUUAAUAGUUGGUGCAAACUCCGAUUUGAAUCUGGUAACAAAAUUAGGCCAAUUCAUGGCCUCCACUACCUCCGCUCUCAUGACAUGACCAACCUCCUCGCACCAAUCACGAGCCCUAUCCCUCAUAAGGAAGGCUGUAAAUGUCAACCUCGAUCCCUCAGGGCAGAAGCUUGUAUGUUGAGCACUAUCCACAUCUAUAAUCCAUCGUCUACUGGCAAUAGGGUUUUUCUUCCCAAAGAACUAUAGGGAGCCACGUUCCUUGAACUCUCAGACAGUAAGAGUUCAUGCCCUAAAAUGAAAAGCUGCAAUCUUUACACGAAAAGCCCCUGUGCGCUCAUCUAGUAACUCCAUGAUCCCCUCAUUGAUCGUACCAAAUAUCACAGGUGUCACAUCCAGGAUAUCGUACGUGAUCUCUUAUGUGAUAAAAUCGUGUAUCCUCUCAUCAAUUAGUUCAGCACUAGAGCUUGAACCGGAACCACAACAAGAUCCAGACCUCCUCAAGUAAUCACCACCAUACUGAAAGGUAACAAAACAAAAGAUCAACACAUACUUGAAUGAUCACUCACUCUAAAAUCUUCUUAGAAUCUUCUUGGCUUUCCUUGACUUGAGUACGAAUCUUGUGAUUUAAUUUAGUAGUACGAGCCUAAUACUACCUUCCACACCUAUUCGUACUUUCCUCAAAAAUCAUCCUGAAUCCUCUAAGUCGUUUCCUAUGGCUACUCUCAUAGGAUAUCAUGCUAAACAACCUAAACAACACACUACAGUACUUCCUAGGCUCUCUCAAGAAUUCUCCUCUUACACAUGCCAAAAGGUCGCUGCUGAUACCGAAGACUACCUCAUGAAUUCAGGUCAUACAUAAUCACAAUAAAAUAGAUGUAUCUACCAUAAGGCCUUCAUCAGAAAAGAACAAACUAUAGGGUCGCAUCAAACAUUUUCAUGCUAUUUAGUCUUAAAUAUGCACUACCCUAAUGCAUUCAUCAAAUAAUUCCCAUUAUCAGCAAAUACCCUAAAGCACCUUAGGAAUCCACACAUAACAUGAAUAUAAAGGCAUCUCUCCUAAUAGGCAUAUUCCACAUGAAAAAUCGCAAGCAAAUCCUUAGCCCUAUCCUAGCAUGCAUUCACGUAAUAGCAUACUACAAAAUAACAUUCAUGUAUGGGCAUUUUGGGAAUCACUUACUAGAGCUCGGAUGAUUGCACGCAUCGCACCCCCUUUUCUUUGUAAAAAUCUUUUCUUUUUUAGAAAAACAUUUAUGUAUCCUUAGUUUGAGUUCAGACACUCCCGAAAGUGUGUCUGAAUCCAUCAAACCAAGGAUCUGAUAUCCACUUGUAAUGUCCCAAAAGUAUCAAGUAAAAUUUUCUGAGUUUUAAUUACCAAAGUCGUACAAUCACUUGUUCAAACCAACCAGCGAGUAUAAAUAGUUUUAAAACAUCAAAGUAUGUCAAAUAGGUAACAUGGAAAUAAAUUAUGGGGGAUGCAAUGCGAUCGAUUCGUGCCCUUCCCUUUCAAACCAGAAGUACCUGAAACACUAAAACACAAAAAUCGUAAGCACAAAGAUUAGUAAGUUUCCUAAAAUAUCACAUACCAUACAUAACAUGAGGCCAUUCCCUAUAUAUUGGUCCCCACCUACGUAACAGGCCCUUCCCAGCAUAAUGGGUUCUGCCCAACAAUACGAGCCCCUCCCAACAUAACGUGCCACGUCCAAUCAUAAAUGUCUGAUUCACAAAGACAACUAAUAUCCUACAUAGUACAGUGUGAAGACCCAUUUCACACUCCAACCGAAUCAACAACAACUCGAACAAACAAGAAUUAGUGCUACAACACACCUAUUGAAAUAUUCAAGAUUAGUCCUUAGUCUACCCUCUAAACUAGCCAUUUGACCAAAAGUCAACCAGGUCAAAAGUCAAUAGUCAAAAUCACCCUAGACGAGCUCCAGUCGUGGUUACCCAUUGGCCUCGUUGUGGAAGCCUUACGACAAAACAGUCACGACUGAGCCAGCCGCUAGGUCGUGGAAAACAUGCCACCACGUUGUGGCAACUGAGUAGAGACAACUUAAUGAAUUAAGCUCUUAUUCCUUUACUCGAAGAGCUCCAAAGCUCAAAUCUAAAUCUCUUAAAGGCCUUGAUGGAAAAUGUUUCCAGCUUUAUCCAUUAAUACAUUCCAAUAAGGAAAGAUAUCUAAUCCUAAUCUCUUAAUGGUUUCACUAAUUGCAUGGAAACCAAGCUAGGUCCUGCACGACCACUUUCCAACCAACACCAUGGUCUAGAAGCUAGAUAAUGCACUCAAAGGCUCUGAUAUUUACUCAAACUAUAAAGAUAAUAAGAUUGGGAAUAAAAAGCUUAUAAAAUAACCCAAAACAAGCUCUAAAGACACAAUGAUCAAGGUCGAGACUUUAUACCUUCACAAGGUCAAAAUGAGAUGAAUAUAUUAGAUCCAAGCCAAAAUCAAGCUUACAAACCACAAGAUGGACUCAUUCUUCUUUCAAGCUUCAAAAAAAUGACUUGACACUCUCAAAACACACACAAAGAGGCUAAGGUUUGGGUGGGGAUCAUUUCAAGAGGAAGGAGGUUGUCAAAUGAGACAGCCCUAGGAGUUAGUGCCUUUAAAUAGGGCACUAAUAUUGGAAUCUAGGGUUUUGAACCCUAGUCUUCGCCACGUCGUGGUGGUUCGCCGAUGCUCAUUUCCAUAACCGGGGUGCCACAUCGUGGCCAUUCCAUCAUCACGUCGUAGCCUAGUCGAAAUCCCAAAACUUAAAUAAUGAAAUUGAAUUCAUAAGAACCAUACCAAGAAUGGGUGUUACAGCUGAGUUCGAUACAAGUUGUUACUAGGGCUGAAAGAAAUAGUUAAUGACCUAGAUCUUUUGGCCGAAGACAGGAUAUUUUCAGAAGCUGAAAUUAUUGAGAUAAGAGAUUGCAAGCAGUGCAUUCUUGAAAUAGAGAAUUUGGCUAAGUUGAACUUGAUUCAAAAAUCAAGAAACAAAUGGAUAAACACAGGAUAUGAGAAUUCCAGGUUAUUUUCAUAACACGAUCAAAAAAAAAUUUAAAAAAAAGGAGGAACAAUGUGCACGAUCUCAUUGUUAAUGAUAGGUGGGUCAUUUAUACUAAGCCGAUAAAACAUGAAACUUGGUUGUUUUUCAUGGAUAAUUUUCAGGAAACCAUGCGCGUUAGACCAACUCUUAUUAACUCUAAUUUCAAAAAAAAAACUAUUAGACGAUGACAAGAAUUGUCUUGAGACCCCCUUUGAUCUUGCCAGAAUCAAAGAGGUUGUUUUGAAUUAUGGCAGUGAAAAAGCGCCCGGGCUACACAAUUUCAUUUUCAACUUUAUUAAACACUUUUGGCUUUGGUGCAAGAUGAUAUUAUGCACUUCGUUAAGCAUGUUGAUCCCAUUUGAACGAUUGGGCAUUGCGAAAUAUGAAUGAAGAUGGCGAUAAUCGACAUAAUAAACUAAGAACAUGAUAGUCAAAUGAGAUUUGAAAGAGCAAAAAUAUUACAUGAAGAACAAAUGAUCAUUAUUAUGGUGUGCACCAAGAUGUAGUCAUUUAGAUUAAAGAGUGUGGCUAGGAUUUCUCUCCCUAGCCACUUGUUCUUCAUGUAAUAGUUAUCAAGGAGUUGAUUAUCAUAAUUUGGACUUGAUCUACAUAUUUCAGAAUACAAAAAAUCUUUUAUAAACUAAAAUGAAAGUAAAUUAAACAAUAGAACUAACUUGCUUUGUUGAACUCAUAGUAAAGAAGGUUUAAGAUCUUCGAAAUUUUGGUAGCAACAAAAUUUGGGAUAUCACAAUGUCCGGAAUGGUGAUUCCGAUUUGGAUGUGUGGUCCCCAUAUAUGUCUUACUGUGGGCUAGAGGUAGUUAGGUUGGUUCAUUUGGCAUGCUUCGGAAUGGUUAUUCCGGAGAAAGUGAUUAUUUUUUUUUAAAUGUUGUUAUUUAAAAAAAAAAUACUCAAUUACUUAAUUUCCCAAUAAACAAAUAUGUUUUCUAUCAAAGACCAAAAUAUGCACCAGUUUAGUAGCAGAUGUAAUUUGUAUAACCAGUUACAACACGAUUAAAUAUUCAGUAUCACUUGUAUAAGUGAUAAAAUAAAAAAGAAGAAAUAUUGUUAGUAAAUUGGUAAAACAAAAUGAAAUAAACAUAAAAGUAGUAGAAAAAAAGGAUAUAUAUUGUUGUGUAAAUGAUUAUUUACUAAUAUAAUAUCAUGAGAUGACCGGUUCCUAACUUCAAUAUGUAGUUUAGUUUUAAAAACAAAACAUAAUUAUUUGUUUUCUUUAAAAGGUCCUUUUAUAUAUAAAUAAAUAGUGAAAAAAAGGACAUUAUUACAUCAAAAUAUUUAAUCCAAAGAAAACAGGUUUGUAAGUGGGACAAAGUAAGAAGACAAAGAGACAACUGCAGGAGACGUAAAUCGGGUGGAAUGGCGUUUCUUUUAAUAAGAUCCAAUUAUGAUUCUGCCCCUCUUUUAUAUUUCAUAUCUACCCUUCCCAGAAAUCAUUUAUGACCUUCCAUAUCAAUAACUCUUUUAUGCGUCUCUUUAUGGACCGGUUGUGUAAAAUAACAGGUCUCAACGGUCAAGGGGUGUAAAUUAAAUAUAACGGACUGGCAUCAUAAAAACCAUAUUUUUCUGAUAUCACCUAGACGUCACAUGGUCUCCGCGUGACGGCUAUGUGUCAAUUUUACUAUACUUUUAUGUGGUAUUUGUCAUAUAUUAGACCGGAGGGUGUGGGAGGAAAGUUUCUUUUAUUUUUUGUGGGCCAUAUAUUUAUUUUCCACUUUUCUUUCUUUUAUCUAAAAACUAAGGAAUGGAUGGGAAGCAUUUCCCUCACUUUUUUUUUUUAAAUAUAUUUCAUACAUAUAUUAUACUUAUUUGGUAGAGAAUUAAAAACCAUGAAUUUUGAUAUAUUUUUUAUAUUUUUUUAAUAUGUAUAUAAUUUUAUAAAUAUUAAAAAAAAAAAACUUGACCAAUAGCAUGAAGGGAGAGUGCGGCACGCCCUCCCCCCAUCUCUUUUCCGCACAUUUUUUCCCUCACCGACGGAGUGGUGUGCAGGAGUGAGGGAAGCUUCCCUCACCCCUUUUUUGCUCCCACUCCGUCCAGCCUUAGGUGUGGUGUACCAAAAAAGAAGGAAAAAUAAAAGGAGAAGAGAAAGAGGCACUUGAAGAAGGAAGAGAUAAUAGAAAAAGUACGGUCGUUUUUUACCGCACACGGCCAAACCGUAGUAGAGACCACAGGGUGGGGAGGGGGCAGUGUUCCCCACUGCCACCAUGAGACCGUAGGGCAAACCGUGCCCACUACUUUUGGUACGUAAUUUUUAAUACAGAUCAAGUCGAAGUUAAAUUGAGUUGUAGGUUUAUCAAGGGUGGACGGGGCCAAGCGGUUUCAACCGUAGGUUGUAAGCGGUAUUGGUCGUUGGAUGUACCACUGACAAUAAGAAUCCAAAUAAAGGUGGUACGACCAAUUGUAAAAACCUAUCGAGUUACUUCAACACGUACUCUCUCUCUCUCUCUCUACUCUUUGACCAAUGGUCAAAUUUUGAUAUUUUCUAUAAUACAGUUAUCUACUAUUUCAAAAACCAUAUCUUAUAUGGUUUUAGAUUUUUUAAUUAUCAUCUUAGGAUUUUAAUUAUUGUCUCUCAAUUUUAGUUUUAGAUUUUUUAAUUAUCAUCUUAGGAUUUUAAUUAUUGUCUCUUAAUUUUAGUUGUCUCUUUAUCAUUUUAUUUACUGUUUGCAGUAAUUGAUGCUUUAUUUAAUAAAAUGUUGUUUUUAUUUUUAGUUUAAAUUUUUAAAUUUAAAUUAGCAGAUGUUAAAAUAUAAAAUUAAAUAAAUUGUAUUUUGUGUGAUAGAUGAAUUUUCAUAUGUUGUAUGAUGAGAAUAUGAAACUAGAAUGAAGAGAAAACUAAUGUAACGUUGAAUUGACAAAUAUGUUGGAAGGAAUUGAACUUCUUCUGCACCCUAUAAGAAAUGAUAUUCUAGUCAAAUUCUGGUUUUAGAUAUUUUAGUCAAAUUUUGGUUUCUAUGAUAUAUUGGAAAUGAUAUUUUAGUCCAAGUUUUGAUUUUGUUUGAAAUAUAUCCUCAUAACUUCAUUUUGUUACAAACUAGAGGGAUUCAUGUGUUUUUCGACAGACGAGAAGGGUGCAUCUACUCGAACCAUUUAACACCUCUUCUAAUCUUCUUUUAACAAAUUUGAUUCAUAGUUUUUAUUACAAUGACAUAUUCAACCUUUUACCUUCCAAGAAGAAAUCUAACUAUUUUUGUGUUAAUGUGAAAGAAUGAGAGAUGUUUUUGUUUGAAUUGAUUCAUAAACUUGUAUUCAAUAACAAUGAAGAAUACAUACAUAUACAGAAGAGAAGAGCAAAUAGAGUAACUAACUCAUAAUAUAAGAAUGACGAAACUACCCUUCUAUCUAACUACCAUCUAAAAACAGUUUAUAACAACUUUUCUAAAUGUAAAAACUAACACCCCCCCCCCCCUCAAGCUGGAGGGUAAGGAACUACAUGCAGCUUGGAAAUAGCUUCUCGAUGCUGUGAAGAUGGUAGAUUCUUGGUAAAAACAUCAGCACAUUGAGAGGUAGUUAGAACAUGUGAUAAAGAAAUGAGUCCUUCUUGAAGUUUUUGUCUAACAAAAUGACAAUCGAGCUCGAUGUGCUUAGUUCUUUCAUGAAAAACAGGGUUGGUAGCAAUGUAUAUGGCGGCCAUAUUAUCACACUUUAGAGGUAUUGGAGUUAUAUUAGGCACUUGAAACUCAUGUAAAAUUCUAGACAACCAUGCCAACUCAACACAUAUUCUCCUCAUUGAACGAUACUCGGCUUCGGCUGAAGAAAGAGAUAUUGUAACUUGCUUUUUAGACUUCCAAGAUAUCGGACUUUCCCCAAAUAAAAUGAAAUAGCCACUAACUGAUCUUUGUGUGAUUGGGCAUGCUGCCCAAUCUGAAUCGCAAUAAGCUUCAAUGUUAAAAUUGGAAAGUUUAUUAAAAAAUAAACCUUGAUUAACAGUGCCUUUAAUGUAUCUCAAUACAUGUAUAGCAGCAUCAUAGUGUUGUUGACAAGGAGUUUUGUUAAACUGACUCAAGUGUUGUACAGUGAAGGCGAUGUCUCGUCUAGUGUGAACUAGAAAGUUCAACUUGCCAAUUAGUUGUCUGUACAAUGUAGGAUCAUGAAGGGGAUUGUCCAUAAGUGGUAAAAGUUUAAGAUUGUGAGGAAAUGGAGUAGAAACUGGAACAGUAUCUUCCAUAGAAUAGAGGUUAAGUAAUUCUUGAGCAAACUUGUGCUGAUGAACAACUAAUCCGUCAGCCACCUUGUCAAAUUGAAGUCCAAGAAAGUAAUUGACUUCCCCCAAGUCUUUUAUGCGAAAUUGACUAUCAAGAGUCAUUUUUAAAGAAGAAAUUUCAUCUUGAUCAUCACAUGUUAGUAAAAUAUCAUCCACAUACACUGCUGAUAUAACAAUUGAAGUAGCAGUCUUCUUAAUGAAAAGAGAAUAGUCAUUGAGAGAAGGAGUAUAUCCUUUUUGAUGCAAAAAAUGGGAUAAUUUUGCAUACCACUGCCUUGAAGCUUGUUUUAAACCAUAUAGUGACUUUUUAAGUUUGCAAACAAGAUGAUCUGAAGUAGUAGAAUAGCCUAGUGGUAAUUUCAUGUAAUCAUCUUCAUGAAGAUCACCAUGAAGGAAGGCAUUAUUGAUGUCAAGUUGUUGAAUUUUCCAAUCUUUUUUAACAGCAAAAGAAACUAAACAUCGAAUAGUAUUGAAUUUGACUACUGGAGAGAAAGUUUCAUGAUAGUCAAUGCCCUCUUUUUGAGUGAAACCUUUGGCUACUAACUGUGCCUUGUAGCGAUCAAUAGACUCGUCAGCCUUAUAUUUAAGUUUGUACACCCAUCAACAUGAGAUUGGCUUUUUUUCCCUUGGGUAAAGAAAAAAUAUCCCAAGUAUGAUUUGUUUGUAAUGCUUCAAGUUCCUGUUGCAUAACAAGUUCCUAAUGAGGAUUCCCUUUAGCUUGAUAAUAAAAAGCAGGCUAAACUUCAUGUUUAGAAACAUUGAAGGCAAAAGUAGAAAUAGGAUAAAGAACAUGAACUUGAGGAUCAAGAUUGCACAUAUCUGUGAUAGUGUGACAACAAAUAUGUGAAGAAUUAACAGCAUUGUUGCAUAUAUAAUCUCGUAAGUUCAUAGGUAGGUUAUGAGUUCUAGAGGAUGUUCUUCUAGAAAUAUGAAGAGGUUGAGGCUGAGAAGAAGAAAUGUUUUCAAUAGGAAAAGAAAGUGAAGGUGAUGAAGAUGUAAUAGGUGUAUCAUUGGAGUUUGUAGGAAGAAAAGAAUGUGGAUUAUGUGACAUAGUAGAAGAUAUGGCAUGUAAUGGAAAAAUUUUCUCAAAAAACUUGAUAUCUCUUGCAAUGUGAAUAACUUUGAUAGUAAGAUUUAAAACUUUAAAAGAUUUCCGUCCAAUGGGAUAGCCAAUUAAGACACAAGGAUGAGAUCUUGACAUAAAUAUAUCACGGCCCACAGUAGAAGUAGUGAUGAAGCACAAGAAUCCAUAGGCUUUUAAUUGUGUUAAAUCCGGUUGUUUUUGAUAAAGAAGUUCAAAAGGAGUUUUGAACUUAAGAGAAGCUGAAGGCAUCCGAUUAAUGAGAUGAACAACUGUUCGGACACAUUCAGACUAGUAAGAAAAACCAAGACCAGCUUGAUAUAAUAAAACUCGUGCAACUUCAAGUAUAUGUCGAUGUUUUCGUUCAACUAUUCCAUUUUGUUGACGGGUAAAUAGAGUAGAUUUUUGAUGUAGAAUCCCAUGUUUGCUAUAGAAUUCUAUGCCUUCAUGACUACAUCCAAGCUCAUAAGCAUUAUUGGUACGAACAACUUUAGUAGUUUUGUUAAACUAAGUUUGAACAAAAACAACAAAUUGUUUGAUAAUUUCCAUUGCAUACCCUUUAUGUGUAACCAUAUGCACCCAAGUGUGUUUACUAUAGUCGUCAACUAUAGUAACAAAAAAUUUGAACCCAUCAUGAGAUAUGUACUUGUAUGGACCCCAAACAUCCACAUGAAUGAGAUCAAAAACAGCUUGAGAUUGAGAUAAACUAGUUGGAAAGGGCAAGGAAUUACAAAAGAGAUUGAAUACAGAGAAACUGAAAGACAAGGAAUUACAAAUGGUUAUGUGAUCAAAAACAUAAAGAUCAUUGACCUUAUUGCCAAAGAGACUAAGAGAGAUUUUAUUCCUUGACGAAGGGUCCUACAAUAGGCAAUGUUGAUCAAUGAAAAUGACAAAGGAUUGGAGUUGUGAAUUCAAUUUUGAAAUUGAAACAAGAUUGUACUUGAAAUUAGGAACAUACAAGACUCCCUGAAGAAUCAAGGAAUCAUAUAAUUUGACAUUUCCAGCAAAAGACACACAUGCAUUAGUACCAUUAGGUAAACCAAUGAAAUGAGAAUGAGGUAAUUUAAAUAAAGAAAGAAACAGCGUUUUAUUAGAACACAUGUGAUCUGUUGCCCCGAGAUCAACGAUCCAUGAAUAAAGUGGUUGUAAAAGAGAUGAUGAUUUGUACACAUUAGCAGCAAACUUAUUGAAAGAAAAAGUACCUUCAGAUUCCAUGGAUCCAUCCAUAAGAGAAGUUUGAGCAGAAAACUAGAAGAAGAUGGAUUGAUAUUGUUGUUUUGAAGAAGAAUCAUCAAUUGAUGAUAUUGUUCUUAUGAGAUGCUAGAAUUGGAAUCAAAAAAAUCAUUCUGAACAGUGGAUUUUGGUUCUUCACGUUUGGAUUUGGUGAAUUUGAAAUUUGCAGGGAAUCCAUGGAGAAGAUAACACUACGAUUUGGUAUGACGAUGCUUUUUGCAAUGAUUGCAAACCAACGAUUUCUUGGACAUAGGACUGUUUUCAACAGAUGCAUUCAUGGCAAUGAUAUCGGUAUUAAUUGGAGUAGAAGUAUUAAUACCACGUUGUCGUUCCUCUUGAAGAUUUAAGGAGUAUGCAGUGGAUACAGUAGGAAGAGGCUUAGUUAUAAGAAUCUGACCACAUACAACUUUGUAAGAAUCAUCAAGGCCCAUAAGAAGUUGAAUGAGGCGUUGUUCUUCAAAAAAAAAUUGGUUAAUCUUUGAUGCAACUUCACAGGAGUAUGGAGGAAUUGCUUGAACAAGACACAAUUCUUCCCAAAUUUGAGUUAAUUUGGUGAAAUAGGUGGUGAAAUCUUCUGAACCUUGAGAAGUCGAAUACAAUUGUUGCUGAAUUUGGUAAAUCAAGGCGCCAUCUGGUUGUUCAAACCUUUGGUUCAAUUGAAGCCAUAUUUCUUGAGCAAUAUUCAAGAAUAACACGCUAUCAGCAAUGUUUUUGGAUAGAGAAUUCAAAAUCCAACUUAUCACCAUAGAAUUGGCUCGAAACCAGGCAGAAUACGAAGAAGAGGUAAUUGUUGGUUCAGAAAUUGUUCCAUCAACAAAACUUAAUUUGUUCUUGGCAGCUAACGAUAAGAUCAUUGAUCGUUUCCAAGAAGCAAAGCCAAUUCCAUUAAAAGGAUUGGUAAUGAGAAUAGAACUCAGAUUAUCAAAAGGAGCAAUGAAAAAAGGAUUAGAUGAAUCGAUAGCAGAAGAAAUUGAAUCAGCCAUGGAGAAUCGAAACCUAAUGUAAUACCAUGUUAAUGUGAAAGAAUGAGAGAAGUUUUUGUUUGAAUUGCUUCAGAAACUUGUAUUCAAUAACAAUGAAGAAUACAUACAUAUACAGAAGAGAUGAGCAAACAGACUAACUAACUCAUAAUAUAAGAAUGAAGAAAAUACUCUUCUAUCUAACUACCAUCUAAAAAUAGUUUAUAACAACUUUUCUAACUGUAAAAACUAUGUGAUACCUAGGUUUCGACUUUGUCACACUACAACAUUUUUCACGUUAUUGCCAUCAUAAUUAUUCUUAAUAAGGACAGAGAAGGGUCUUAGACCAAAAUAUUUAUGUAUUCCCGAUAGCGAAUCUAUGAAAACGUUCUCUACGGACCAAUUCACUAACUAUGUGAUACCUAGGAAGGUAUACUUUUAUCGCUUGUUUAAUUUUGUCCCAUAACAAUCAUCAUUCUACAUAAUCCUAGGAUACUUGAUGAUGAUAUCUAAGGCAAUAUUGUUCCAUUUACCCAUACACAUAGGUAAAGGUCUCGAGUUCCUUCACGAUAUUUGAUGUCAUAUUCUCACUUUCCAACCAAGACAUCCAUUAUAUUAUCUACAUAACAACAACCAAGACAUCCAUUAUAUAUANNNNNNNNNNNNNNNNNNNNNNNNNNNNNNNNNNNNNNNNNNNNNNNNNNNNNNNNNNNNNNNNNNNNNNNNNNNUAUAUUAUUUCAUCUAACAUAAAACAUUUUGGUUACAGAUAAUAAGCAUAUAUAACCUUCAAUUAUCUAAAUACUUCACUUAUAUGUGUAAAAUGAAUAUAACUAUGCACUCACCCGACUUAGAUGAAUUACUGGUGAUUUCAGCAGAGCUUCACCUUGGUGCUUUAUCUUUUUCUCUAACGUGACAUCGGUUCACAUUACUAAGGUGAAAAGGGAGAAGGGGGAGGCAGAACCCUAAAAAUUGGUUGAUACCAUGUAAAGGAUAUGAAAUCAUAUCGUCAAUUGUGGUAGAGAGGUAUUUUCUAUAUAAUUGAUAAAAUACAAUAAGAUAAAUAAAAAAUAAAAACAACUUAAAAUAAUAUAAAUAGUAAAUCANNNNNNNNNNNNNNNNAGAGAGAGAGAGAGAGAGAGGGAGAGAGAGAGAUAGUGAGAGAGAGAGAGAGGAAAAAGUUAAAUAUGGAAUAUUAUUAAUUAAGGAACCAAUGAACCAAUCCAAAGCGUCGAAGUUUAAAAAGAUCAACGGCAAAAUGAAUGGUUGUAGUCUUUUACAAUGGACGCACAUGCACUGGAAUAUACCAAAACACUUCUUUUUUCGUUUAAUUUUUUUAGGCCAUGUUCUUUUAUUGAAAAAAAAACAAAUAUACCGUUGUUCAUGAUUUUUCGUCAUCUUUUCAUAGAGAUACAUAUUGAUAUAUAAAAAAUGAAACUUUUGUUUUUUAAAAAAACCUAGUUUAUUUAUUUAUUUAUUUAUUUUGAAAAGUUAAGGUGUAUCUUUUAGCGAAAAAAAUGAUAAAUAUAUCAAUAUUCAUAUUUUUUGGUACUCUUUAAACAUAAAUUCAUGUUGAUGUAAAAAAAAUUCGAAAUUUCAGCUCGUUCAGAUUCACAUUGUAAAUAUGCUUACAAUCACUCUGUGAAUAUGCUGAAACUCACUUUGUGAAUAUGCUCUGAUUCACAUUGUGAAUUCUGAAAAUUAAGUUAAAUAUAGUUCAAAAUUACAAUGUGGAUAAAUUCAUUUGUUAAUUUUAUAAAACUAAUUUAUAGGUAAUCAAAACGUUAAAAUUUUAUAAAAUUACAUGAAAAUAUAUUUCGCUUCAUAUGUAAAUUUUACUAAAUUAAUUUGUGAAUUAUAAGAUAUUUGAAAUAGUAAGUCAGAUUCACAUUGUCAAUGUUAAAACUGAAACAUCUACGGUUCAAAUAUCAAGUUCUUUUUUUUUUUUUAAAUUAAUGUUGAUGUUUAUUAUUAGAUGACAAAAAUUGAGAUUUUUUGUAUAUUUAAUUUUUAUGGGAUAAAAAUAAAUCUAAUUUUUGAAAAAAAAAACUACAAAACAAAGUGAGUUUUUUUUGUAAAGUUUGCUUUUUAUAUAUCAAUAUGGUUCUUUGUGGAAAGAAGACGAAAAAUAUUGAACAAUGAUAUAUUCAACUUUUUUUCUCGAUAAAAAGCAUAACCUAAAAAAAUUUAAACAGAAAAAAGAGGUGAGUUUUUAUUUAUUUAUUUAUUUAUAUAAUUCGGUGUAUGUGCAUCCAAUAUACAAAUCUACAACCAUUUCAUUGGUUGUUGAUCAUUAUGAUUUCUGACGUUCACGAUUAAUUCUUUGGUUCCUUGUUAUUCAUGAUGUUCUAUUAAAGCACAUUAGGCGAAUCGGUACAAUUAUAUAGUUAAAAUAAUAAUUUUUACCAAAUUAUUAUUUAAUAUUUCUAUUUUGAAAUUCAUGAUAGUAGUAAAACAAACUUAUAGUUAACAUAUUAAUUUUAUUAAACAUUAAAGUUUAAAUUUUAGGUCAUUAUGACAUAUACCAUUAUUUGAAAAUUUUCUAAAUCGUUUAAAAUUGUGUAAAUUAUAUAUCAAAUGUAUGAUGAUCUAUAUAUAACAAAUAACAAAAAUAUAUGAAAAAAAUAAGUACUACAACUUUUAGUAACAUAAAAAUAAUAAAACAUCUAUUAUAACUUUUGUAAUUAAAAGGAUCUAUAUACAACAAAUAAUAAAAAAUAAACACUACAACUUUCAAUAAUAUAAAAACACUAAAACGUCUAUUAUAAAAAUUGUAUUAGCUCUUUAUAUUUGAAUCACAAAUAUCUUCAAACACGUGAACAUUAGUGGUUAGUAAUUAAUAAUCGGAAAAUAAAAUUCUUGAGUUGUAAGUAGUAAAUAUACAUAAAUCAGAAAACUCUUGAGUUGCAGUAAAAAUUCAAAUGAAUAUGGUGCUUGAAAAUAUGUCAUAUGUAAUUAAUGUCGUAGUAAGAUGGAAAAAACACUUUCAUAUGAAAAACAUAUCAUGAUAAAUCAAUCAAAAUUACAUAUUUAAUGUUAAAAAUGAUGUUAUCUUUUAAAUAUUCUAUUGUAUUUGUAAGUAUAACCCAACCAAAAAAAAAGAAACUAAACAAAAUCAAAAUAGAAACAGUACAAUGAAAUAAAAUAAGAAAAUUGGACGGCUGAAUAUAUAAAUAAAAAUAUUACAUAAAUAUACAUUUAAAUCCAAAGAAAAAACCUCACUCGUCUACUCUGUUCAAACAAAAUUAACUUAUAUCCGUUUUCUUACUCUUCUUUAUUCCUUUGACACCAUUUAACCAUAGUAACUUGAUGAUAAUUCUUUACUAACUUGCAAUCAAAAUGUUUUUGUUGAUAAAGACAAAUCAUAAACAUGUUCCAAGCAAAACAUUGAUGUUUAGAGGGUCACGUUCAACAUUGAGUAAUACACACAAAUCAUCACAUGAGAGACUGAAUAUAAAGAAAUAAUAGAAAAAACUGCAUUUGUAUUGGUUGAAAAAAAAUUAUACUAUAAUUACCAUUGAUACGAUAUAACUCACUUCUCCAACUCUUCAUAUAUGGAUCACAAAUGUUUAAACUACAUGAAAGCCUUUUGAAUCACAAUACAUUCAACCACAUGACGAAUUUUUUAUAAGAAAAAUGUACUAAUAUAGCUACAUAUAUAAUGAGAGAAUGUAAAAACUCAUUGAAAUUUUAUAAAAAAUAAAGAAUACUAUUAAUUAAGGAGUAUAAAAGAUUAUUUAGGUUUCAAAUAGAUAUGGUUUGAGAAAACAAAAUAUCUCUAACCACAUGAUUUUGAAUGAUCUCCUUUAAUAUAUAUAUACACACAUACACACACACUAUAAUAAAUAAGGGUCUUUUUUCCACAUAUCAUAUUCUUAUUGAUUUUGCCACAUGUAAUUUUAUGGUUAUUUUAAAUUAAUUUUUAUUUCACAUGUCAUUUUAUGGUUUUUCUAUUUUUAUUAAAUUUAACAUGUUAUUUAAAUAUAAUAAUAAAUGCAUAUCAGUUUCAUUAAUAGACCUUCCUUCUAAUUUCAAAAUUACUAAUAUCUACUUCUCCUAUAAUAAACAAAGAUAUUUUUGCCACAUGUCAGAUUCUUAUUCAUUUUUCCAUGUGUAGUUUUAUGGUUAUUUUAAAUUAAUUUUGAUUCUACAUGUUAUUUUAUGGUUUUUCCAAUUUUAUAAUUUCACAUAUUGUUUAAAUCUAAUAAUAAAUGCACAUCAUUAAUAGACUUUCCUUCUAAUUUCAAAAUCACUAAAUUAAAGUGUCAUUAAUUUAUUUAUCUAAAUUAUUUGUUUAAAUUUAAAAGAGAAAAAAAAACACUUUGAUUUUUAUAAUUCAAUAUUUUUCUCAUUUUUCUUUUAAAUUCAAACUUCUCAAAUAUUUUGAAUUUUAUAUUUAAAUUUUCAUUUAAAAAAACUCAUGUAAUACAUGGGUUUCACACCAAGUGUGUAUAUAUNNNNNNNNNNNNNNNNNNNNNNNNNNNNNNNNNNNNNNNNNNNNNNNNNNNNNNNNNNNNNNNNNNNNNNNNNNNNNNNNNNNNNNNNNNNNNNNNNNNNNNNNNNNNNNNNNNNNNNNNNNNNNNNNNNNNNNNNNNNNNNNNNNNNNNNNNNNNNNNNNNNNNNNNNNNNNNNNNNNNNNNNNNNNNNNNNNNNNNNNNNNNNNNNNNNNNNNNNNNNNNNNNNNNNNNNNNNNNNNNNNNNNNNNNNNNNNNNNNNNNNNNNNNNNNNNNNNNNNNNNNNNNNNNNNNNNNNNNNNNNNNNNNNNNNNNNNNNNNNNNNNNNNNNNNNNNNNNNNNNNNNNNNNNNNNNNNNNNNNNNNNNNNNNNNNNNNNNNNNNNNNNNNNNNNNNNNNNNNNNNNNNNNNNNNNNNNNNNNNNNNNNNNNNNNNNNNNNNNNNNNNNNNNNNNNNNNNNNNNNNNNNNNNNNNNNNNNNNNNNNNNNNNNNNNNNNNNNNNNNNNNNNNNNNNNNNNNNNNNNNNNNNNNNNNNNNNNNNNNNNNNNNNNNNNNNNNNNNNNNNNNNNNNNNNNNNNNNNNNNNNNNNNNNNNNNNNNNNNNNNNNNNNNNNNNNNNNNNNNNNNNNNNNNNNNNNNNNNNNNNNNNNNNNNNNNNNNNNNNNNNNNNNNNNNNNNNNNNNNNNNNNNNNNNNNNNNNNNNNNNNNNNNNNNNNNNNNNNNNNNNNNNNNNNNNNNNNNNNNNNNNNNNNNNNNNNNNNNNNNNNNNNNNNNNNNNNNNNNNNNNNNNNNNNNNNNNNNNNNNNNNNNNNNNNNNNNNNNNNNNNNUUAAGUUAUGCAACAAGAAAUUUUUAGAUAAAAUACAUAACCACGUCUCAUUCAAUAUGUUAAUAAAACAUACAACUAAUGAAUUAACGAAACUUGGAAAAGCACUUUGGAAUUGGGUAAAGAUGUUGGAAGUUGGCAGGAAGAGAACUCACUUGUUAAAACCUUUACCUUUUACCUUUCUUUAGUCAAAGACAGUUUGUGAUAUGUUUGUUUCAAAUAUGUUGGGUGCUGAUCUUAGUAAACCGAGGACCAUUUUUCCAAACUUAUGAUACAUUCUUCCAUGUAUCUUUAUAAAAAAAAUUCCUAAAAUUUCUUACAAAAUUGAGAAAUGUUUAAAAUUUGCACUUUGCAGAUUAAUCAUAUGCUCAAUUUUAACAUCAUCAAAUUUUGGUAUACAUGACGGGACGAGCAUUAGGACCGGACCAGAGUCAACCAUAACCCGAAUUGGUUCGAGAGAAGUUAAUGGACCGUGUACGAAAGCAUUAGGUGCAUAUUGGUGCCGGUUUUCCGGUUCUUGGACUGUUUGGACCUACAAAACAUGCAAUGUGUAUGGUACAAGUUGAUGAAAUAAUUGAUAUUCAAUCGAGAAACUGCAAUAAAGUCUUUACAUAUUGAUCUCAUAAUUAAUUUAGUUUUUAUGUCUUUUUCUUUAUUCAAUUAAGUCCCAGAAAUCGGUAGUCGUAUUCAAUUUAACCUUUUUAUCCGGUCAACACGUCAUUCAACUUUCAAAAAUUACAUUUUUGGCCCAAUUUUCAAAAUUUAUUAAAAAUUUGGUCCACAAUUUACACUUUUGGCCCAUAUUUUAAAUUUUAUUACAAAUUGGGUCCAGAAUUUACCCUUUUGGCUUAAAUUUUAGAAUUUUAUUAUGAAUUCAUCCUAACUUUAGUUGUUUUACAAAUUUUUUUCUUAAAAUUUUUUUUCUUAUAUGUUUUCUUUAUAAAAUCAUAUUUAUACAAAAAAAAACAUAUUUUUCACAUAAAAAAUCUUAUAUUUUGUAUAUCAAAACUUUUUUUGUGUACGUAAUACCUAUAUAUAAAAAUCGGUAUUUAUUAAGUACAUAAAUAUAUACAAAUUCGUUUUUAUAAAAAAAAAAUUUAUACAACCAUGUAUUUUACAAAAACAAAUGUAUACAAACACAUAUUUUAUUAUAAAUACAUUUGUAUGUAAACAAAUAUUUAUAAAAAAUGUAAAAAAACACCUAUUUCAUAGUAAAUGUAUACAUUUCUUUUGUAAAAACAUAUUUAUGUAUUUUACUAUAAUCAUCUAUUUUAUAAUAAAUGCAUAUGUAUUCAAACACGUUUUUAUAAAAUGAAAUGUAUACAAACACAACUAUAUAUAAAAAAUAUAGAUACACAUCUAUUUGUGNUAUACACACACACACACAUGUUUACUAUGAAAUAAGUGUAUUUUAAUUUUUUUUAUAAAUACGUGUUUGCAUACAAAUAUAUUUAUAAUAAACUAGGUGUUUGUAUACAUUUAUUUUUUAUAAAAUACAUGUUUAUAUACAUUGUUUUUGUAAAAACAGAUUUGUAUAUAUUUAUGUACUUAAUAAAUACCUAUUUUCAUAAAUAGGUAUUUCGUAUACAUAAACAUUUUAUAAAAAAAAGCUUUUAUAUAGAAAAUAUAAGAUUUUUUAUGUGAAAAUAUGUUUUUUUUGUAUAAAUAUGAUUUUAUAAAGAAAAAACAUAUUCAAAACAAAAAUUUGAGAAAAAGGUUGUAAAAACAAGUAAAGUUAUGAUGAAUUCAUAAAAAAAUCUAAAAUUUGGGCCAAAAUGGUAAUUUUUGACCAAAUUUGUAAUAAAAUUUAAAAUAUGAGCAAAAGGUGUAAAUUUUGGACCAAAUUCGUUAAACAUUUUCAAAUCUGGGCCUAAAAUGUAAUGUUUGAAAGCUGGAUGACUUGUUGACCGAGUGAAAGGGUUAAAUUGAAUACGAUAACCGGUUUUUGAGACUUAAUUGAAUAAAAAAAAAAUAUAAAAACUAAAUCAAUUAUGAAACCAAUAUGUAAGAACUUUAUUGCAAUUUUCUCAUAACCAAUGGUUUAAAUUAGUUAUUUGAGUUGUUUUACCGUUUGCAUGUUUUGAUGAGUUAUUUGAGUUGUUGUCUUGAAUGUGUUUAACGAGUUUUAAAAAAAAAAAAAAUACAUAGUUUACUUAACUAGUGUUUCUAAUGUGGAUUAUGCAAUCAUAAGAUGAUGUUUAUUUAUGAAAAUGUCGUAAUUGUAAUUACAUAUAUAAAAAACAUACAAAAGUAAUUAUCCAUCAAAAAUAUAUAAAAGUAACUCUCCAAUUCAAGUCAAGCAACAAAUACAUUACUUUUUCUAAAAAAUAUCUUUCAACUUUGAUACUUUUAUCCUUGCGAGAUUAUAACUGAAGAAUAAGUGACCAAAAAAGUGAAAUUAUAGCAUAAAAUGAACUACAAACAGUAAAAUACAUGUUAGUAAAAAUAUCAUGAUAAUCUAAAUUCAAACGAAUGAGUUAUAAUAUCUUGAAGUAUUUCAGAUAUUACACAAUAUGCAAAAAAAAUAAAAAAAAAUAAAAAAUAAAAAAAUCAUUUAACUUUGAUACUCUGUCUUCGUGCGACUGUAACUCAAUGAAUAUAUAACAAAAAAAAAUUAUAGACUAAAAUGAAGCACAAACAAUAAACUAUAUGCUGAAAAACUAUCAUGUCAAUACAGUUUCAAACAUAUGAGUUAUGACAUUUUAAAAUAUUUCAUGAUUACACAAUAUGUAGAAAAAUUGAAAAUCUUUAAUUUUGAUACAUCGUCUUCGGGGAUUGUAACUCAAUGAAUAUCUAACGAAAAAAGUGAAUUUAUAGCCUAAAAUAAAAUACAAACAGUAAACUACAUGUAGAAAAGAAUAUCAUUUCAUUCCGACUUCAAACAAAUGAGUUAUUAAAUAUUAAAAAUUCUCACAAAUUACAUAAUAUCACACAAAAACUGAAAAGUUUAUUUCUUAAAAUUACGUCCAAAAACUGGGACAAACCUAAGCAAUAAAAAAACCCAUAACGAGUGAUGCGUAAAACCAAUAACUGAUAACCGAUCCUACGACAUAAAACCAGUAAUCGUCCGGAUUCUCACCCCUAAAACACGAUAUUUAGGGAUAUUUAGGAUUGCUUAUUUGGAAUAGUUUAUCUUUUUCUUUAAUUUUUUAUUUGCUUAUAUAAUAUCAAAAUGAAAUUUAUAAAAGUAAUUGCAUUACCUUAUGAAAUACCAAAACACAAUAAAUUUUUUUUAGUGCUUUUCAAAUUGUCCUUGUACAUAUAAAUAACCAAAAUAGACAAAGAUAAAAAUGGUAAAUUAACUUUUGCAUUGUUGAUUUUAAAACUCAUGCGAUUUUUCAGGUUAAAUGGUUGUUUGAGAUUUCUUAUUUCAAAUUUUUUUUCCUAUUUGUAGAAGUGUUUAUUAUUUUCUUUCGAAAAUAAACUUCUCUUUUGAAAAAAAAAAUGCUUAUGAGUUUAUCCGGUGUAAAAAAAGAGCUUUAAAAAAUUGAUUGUAUUAGCUUAUGCGGUAUCAAAAUGAAAUAAGUUGAUAAAUUAUUUCUAGUGUUUGAGAAACUCUUAUAUGUAAUAAUAAAACAACUUAUCAAAAACUUCUUAAAUAAGUCAAUAAAUAAGUAAGAAACCACUUAUCAAAUACUUCUUAUGAAAUCAUUUUAUCAAAACACUAAAAACUCAUUAUUAUUGAUAUCAAACGAAAUAAGUCAAUAAACAUUUCACGAACUUUUGGAACGACGAUUAGAACGGCGAUUUCAGAGCUCUUCUUCUAAUCGGCGGCGCUGCCCCUCGGCCCAGCCCUUCUUCUCCGGCGGGUGCAAACGCCGACAGGGUCUGGGCUUCUUCCUUCCCUCUUCUUCACUUUGGGCUUCUUCCUUCCUUCUUCUUUACUCUGCUCGUGUUUAUCUGAUGCAGUGAUCUCAUCUCUAUUUCUCUUUCGUGAGGUGAUUGUGCUCUGGUGCAGAUUCCUCUAUGACCACGAUCAUGGGGUUAUGCUGUAUUUAUAGAUAAAUAAUUACAAGGAUACACCACAAAUAAUAAAUAUAAACAAUUAAAUGUAUCAUACAACACUUUGGUCUAAUACUUCCCCUCAAGCUUAAGGUGGUGGACCGAGACGAAGCAUAUGACGAAACUGUUCAAACUGGUGUCGAGAGAGACUCUUUGUGAAUAUGUCUUCCACCUGAAGCUUGGUAGGAACAAACAUGGUGACAAGCUUGCCGGAAGCCACAAGCUCACGAACAAAAUGAUAAUCAAGAUCAAUAUGUUUAGCGCGUUUAUGAGCCACCGGGUUUUGAGUAAGAAAUAAUGCACUCUGAUUAUCACACAAGAGAGUUGGUGAACCGGGCGGCAGAGCAUGAAGCUCCCGAAGCAGAUGAGUGACCCACAUAAGUUCAGCAGCAGUGUUGGCCAUGGCUCGAUAUUCAGACUCGCAACUGGAGCGGGAAACCAUAGGUUGCUUCUUAGCACUCCAAGACACGAGAUUACCCCCCAGGAAUAUCGAGUACCCAUACGUGGAGCGGCGAGUAUCGAGGCAACGAGCCCAGUCAGCAUCAGAGUAGCCAACAAUGGUUGUGCGAGAAGGCCGGGAGAAGGUGAGACCAUAAGUAAUGGUGCCUUUGACAUAACGAAUGAGCCGCUUCACUGCCUGAAAAUGAUCAACGGUAGGGGCAGCAAGGUAUUGGCUGACUUGGUUAACAGCAUAAGAAAUAUCUGGCCUGGUAAUAGUGAGGUACUGAAGUGCCCCAACCAGAGAACGAUAGUGAGUGGGAUCAUCAAAUAAAACACCAUCCCGAACCAUGGAAACAGACGAAGCCAACGGGGUGGGCAUAGGUUUGGCAUCGAGCAGACCAGCACGUGAAACAAUGUCAUGAGCAUACUUAGCCUGACUCAAAAACAGGCCGGAGGGAAGAUGGGACGCCUCAAGACCAAGGAAGUAGCUCAAACGACCAAGAUCUUUGAUGCGAAAUUCGGCAUGAAGCUGAGCGACAAAAGAGGAGAUAACAGAGGUGUCAGAGCCGGUGAGAAUCAAAUCAUCCACAUAUACCAACAAAUAAAGGAGGCAACUACCCUUGCGAAAUAUAAAAAGGGAAGGAUCAGCCCGACUACAAGAGAAACCAUGGGCGACCAAAAACGCGCUAAGACGAUGAAACCAGGCACAAGGGGCCUGUUUCAAGCCAUAAAUAGCCUUAUUAAGCUUGCAAACAUGAUCCGGAUACCGAGUAUCAACAAACCCAGGCGGUUGUUGCAUAAAGACAGUGUCACCAAGCGUGCCAUGUAAAAAGGCGUUAUUGACAUCAAGUUGCCGCAAAGACCAACCGUUAAUAAUAGCAAGAGUGAGUACAAUUCGAACAGUUGCAGCUUUAACCACCGGACUAAAGGUAUGAGAGUAGUCAAGACCCGGAACUUGACUAAACCCCUGUGCCACAAGGCGUGCUUUGUAGCGCUCAAUGGAUCCAUCCGCCCGAUAUUUGGUGCGAAAUAGCCAACGACAACCAACGAUAUUGGAAGACUUAGGACGGGGAACCAAGGACCAUGUAUGAUUUUGUUGUAAAGCAAGCAUUUCGGACUUCAUAGCCGAAUGCCAUUUGGGAUCCUUAAUAGCAAUAGAAUAAUUUGCCGGCUCGGGUGUAGAGAGAACCGCAGAGAGUAAGCCAUGGGACUCAAAAUGCGCAAGAUCAACCCGGUAUCGAGGCUUAAAGAUACCCGCUUUGGCCCGUGUUAUCAUAGGGUGCGAUGGAGCCGUGGGUGACGUAGGUGGAGGGGGCGGAGUGUUCGGGUCAGCAGCCCCUUCGUCAUCAGAAGACGAAGACGAAGAGCUACUCGAGGAGUCCGAAUCAGAAGAAUGGGGCGCGGGAGUAGGAGAUGGAGCUGCCGGAUCAGCGGCCGGGCCAACCGGGUCAGCUGGGUCGAUGCUAGGCGGACCAGGCUCAGGGCACGCCGGACACGGGCCGGAGGGAGCAACCCCAACAGAUGCGGGGGGAGUGAUCGGAGCCGGAGCAGGUGCGGAAACAACCGGAACAUCCGACAAAAACUCUUGCAAGCGAAGAGAAGCAAGCGGUGUCGCAACGGUGGGGCCACCAAGCGGGAAAUUAACCUCAUCAAACCGAGCAUGGCGCGUGAUAAAUAUGCGAGAGGACACCGGAUCAAGGCAUUGAAACCCUUUAUAUUGCGAGUGAUAACCAAGAAAUAUGCACGGGAUGCUCCGGGGUGAAAGUUUGUGGGGCGAAUAGUCGCGCAAAUAUGGAUAAACCCGACACCCCAACGGGUGAAAAGUGUCAUAAGUCGGAACUCGAUUGAACAAGACUUCAAAUGGUGAUUUGGUGGCCAACACUUUGGUGGGCAAACGAUUAAUAAUAUAUACCGCCGAGCUAAAAGAAUGCACCCAAUAAGAGGCCGGAAUGUGACCAUGGAACAUCAUGGCAAGGCCGGUUUCGACUAUGUGACGAUGUUUGCGCUCAGCCCGUCCGUUUUGUUGAGGGGUGUAGGGACAUGAGACUUGGUGAAAAAUACCACGGGCACGAAAAAUGUCCUUAACUUGAUUAUUUAAAAAUUCCAUACCACCAUCACUUUGAAAUAUUUUUAUUUUGGACGAAAAUUGUGUCUCCACAAAUACAAUAAAAGUCUCAAGCACCAUGCAAAAUUCGGCCUUUGUUUUAAGUGGGUAAAACCACGUAAAACGAGAAAAAUCGUCCACAAAGGUAACAUAAUAGCGAUAACCAUCAACCGAGGUAACUGGAGAUGGGCCCCAAAGAUCGCAAUGGACCAAAUUCAAAACUCCAAUAGCACGUGUGUUAUUAUUAUUAAAUGGCAAACGAUGCGAUUUCGCUAAUUGGCACGGAGAGCAUAAAACCGGCUUAGGUAAAAUAGAUGUAACAAAAAUACGUCCGAGUUUAUUUAAUAACAAAAUGGUGUCAAACGACACAUGGCCCAAACGAGAGUGCCAUAACUCAAACGACGCCUUGGACCCCCGACUAGCAAAAUAAGCACGUGCAGGAGGUUUGGUGGAGAGAACGUAUAAUCCAUGGUCACGCCUUCCUCGGGCUAGCACCCGUUUCGUUUCCCGGUCCUGAAUAUCACAGUAAAAUUUUGAAAAAAGAACAUCCACAUUAUUAUCAUAUGUCAAUUUGCUAAUCGAUAAUAAAUUUUUGGUGAGUUGCGGAACCACCAAAACAUCCUGCAAACGAAUCCCAUUAUUAAGAGAAGAGGAUCCAAUAGAAGAGAUAGGAAGGGUAUUACCAUUCCCAAAAUGGACCGAGCCAUCACCACCAAAAGGCACGGGUUGAUUAACCGAGGCGGAGGACGAAACCAUGUGAUCGGAAGCACCAGAGUCCACAUACCAAUCCGGGCCAGAAGUGGAAACAUUACAUUUGGCUAAAAAUGCCUUCACCAAAUCCGAAUCAUUUGCGGGAGGAGAAGAUGCAAAAGAAGAGAGUUGAGGACAUUGACUUGCAUAGUGACCAUUAUUCCGACAAAGUUGGCAAUGAGGGGGACGACGGCCACGACCACGCCCGCCACGACCACCACCCCGACCACCACGACCACGACCACGAGAGGCAAUGGCAGUCGCGGAGGCGUCGGGGGCAGCAGUAGCAGAAAAUGCGACGGGUGGGGUGGAGCCACCGUGGAGCGAAGAAAUGAACAUGUCAUGGCCCUCGGCCUUUGCAAGGAGGUCACGAAAGGAGUGAGGCAUCCCGGAGGCACGUAUGGCAGUGGAGAAGGCCUCAAAUGAUCCCCCAAGUCCUCGCAAAAAAUGAUGAUUUUUGUCCUCGUCGUCAACGGGGUGGCCUAUAGCGGCUAGUUGAUCACAAAUGGUCUUGAAACGCCUACCAAAAUCUGAAACCGAGGCGGAACCCUUGGUAAGGAGGCAAAGAGUGUCACGAAGGUUAUGCACACGUUCCAUGGAGGAAUUCCCACAGGAAGCCUCAAGUGCCAACCAAAUGGAACGAGCGGUGGUGAGGCCAACAAUUUCUGAGAAGGCCUCCUUGGUGAGAGAGGCUUGAAGCAAAAUAACAGCUCGUUGAUCCGCAGCUAGCCAUUCCGCAUGAGCCAGAUUGAGAGUAGGCUUGCCAUCAACCACAAGGUGGGAUGGCGGGGCUUGAGAGGAGCCGUCUAUAUGAUCAAAAAGAUUCUGAUAGGUAAGGAGAGGGGUCAUUUGGUUGACCCACAGCAGAUAGUUUGAGGGAGAGAGGCGAAUGGUAAUGAGGUGAAGAAUUGUGUUCAUGGGUAGGGUGGUUUCAGUGGAAGAAGACGCCAUGGGAGGGGCAGUGGGGUGGUGGCAGAUUUCCAAUGGAAGGAGGAGAAGGGUGGCAGGAAACCGAAACAGGAGGAAGAAGAAGGAGAAUCGGAAUUUUAGGGGGUGGGAGGUGAAGGGAGAGAGGCUCUUGAUACCAUGAAAAUAAUGAGAUUAAAGAUGACUCUCCAUGACCACGAUCAUGGGGUUAUGUUGUAUUUAUAGAUAAAUAAUUACAAGGGUACACCACAAAUAAUAAAUAUAAACAAUUAAAUGUAUCAUACAACACUUUGGUCUAAUACUUCCUUCCCUCUUCUUCACUUUGGGCUUCUUCCUUCCUUCUUCUUUACUCUGCUCGUGUUUAUCUGAUGCGGUGAUCUCAUCUCUAUUUCUCUUUCGUGGGGUGAUUGUGCUCUGGUGCAGAUUCCUCUAUUGUUGUCUGAUCCAAUGGCUUCUUCUCAGUCCCGCUCUUUUGGUGAGGGCUGGAACACGAAUAAGUUUCAUGACCAAAAGGCCCCUGUUGAACGAUCCCAUGCACAACCCAUGUUUGAUCACUCGUUCUAUAUCACAAACUUCCCAGACUACAUUAUUCAAUCCGAUAUUUGGCGCGCAUGUUCCCGGCUAGGAAAAGUUUGUGACGUAUUUAUCUCUAAAAAGUUGGCUCGUAUGGGAAAACGGUUUGGUUUCGUCCGAUUUUCAGGAAACAUUAACGAUGAUCUUAUGAUUUAGAAGCUUUGUGAUGUGUAGUUCGGAUAUUACAAACUGUUUGCCUCUAUACCCCGAAAUCAUAAGAAAGUAAUCAAGCCUCAUAGGGAACCACCUACUGUGAUGAAGAAACGUGAGACCUUACGUGUUUCAUAUGCUAACGUGGUCAGAGGUGAUAAUUCAUAGAAAUCUUCAUUUGUUAAAGAAGAAACAGCCAUUAUCCUGGAAUCUGGGAACUUUGUCAUUGAUAAUAAAAAACUGCAUGUUUAGCCAAAGCCCGUGACUUCAAUACUCUCCCCAAUCUGGGAAUGUUAUGUCACGAUGAAGGUUUUGACACCUUUAUCAUACGAUAUGUGGGUGAUGUUUGAAUUUAAAUCCAAUGAAGCAUGUAUAAAAUUUUUGAUCAGCGAUGCGGUCAAUCACUGGAUCACAGAAAAAAGAAAAUGGGACAAUAAUCUUGUGCCUUCUGAUCGUAUUGUGUAGGUUGAUGUUGAAGGCCUCCCCCUUCGUGCUUGGAGCAAGAACUCCUUUAGACAUAUUUUGGCUAAAUGGGGUUCAAUUGCCCGUCUUGACGACAACAUUGGAGAAGAUAUCUACAAGUCACGUGUUUGUAUUAUCAGCUCGUUUCUUGGUAUAAUUUAUGAAGUGAUUAAAGUUGGUAUUGACGGCGAAAUAUUCCCCAUUCGUAUCAAAGAAGCUCCCGGUUGGAAUCCAACAUUCGUGUGUGAGUCUAAUAACAUUGAAAAAGAUAGUGCUGAUGCCAUUCACAGAUUCAAGCAAGAUCAUGAUAGUAGCAUUUACUCUCUAUCUGAUAAGGAAGACAUUUCUCUCGAUCCUUUUGGUAUCUAUGAUGUCAUGAAAAAAAUGGAUACCGAAGAGGAACAAAAAAAAUCACCCAAAAUACACCAGGGGCAAAAUCGGUAUUCUGUAUCAAAAAAUGAAGAAUCAAAUUCACAAGGACCUCCUCCUGGCGCUGAUGUAAAUUCUAAUCCAGCUCAAACCUGCCAACAGAAUGCAACCAAGCCGACAACAACUCAGGAUGUUCCUAAGCUGUCAACUCUGAGACAGCAGCCUCUGAUGCUGUCAAAAUCGCGACAGAUGCCCCUGCAGAAGCGCCGGAUGCUACCUCCACAGCCUCAACUCCAUUCUUCUCAUCUUAUCCUUGGAAAAAGCCUGAAGCCAAUCAGAUUACAAGGGGGGGAAUGAUUAUUUCAAAGAAAAUUGUUCCUCUAUGGACCAAUUCCAAAGUAAACUGGGGUUUUUCUGGCGGUUAUGGACGGGUCUCUGGUUUUAAUUGUUCUGAAGAUAAUCUAUCGCAUCCCCCGGGUUUCUCGAAUCAGCGGGUUUCAUUUUCAGGGAAUAACCAAAGUACUUCAGUUGGCAUUGAAAAAAACAAUUCAUUCCUAAAUGAACUACAAAAAACUAUUGCUAUGGGAGAAUCGAUAGGAUAUAAUAUGGCCGGUUGUAUGGAUCGUGUCACCGAGAUUUUAAUAGGUCACAUUGAGAAUCAUGUUCCAAAAUGAAUUGCUUAUCUAUAAAUAUCCAAGGGGGCGGGAUCCUGUGAUAAAAGGAGUUGGAUAAAAAAAACUGUGUAAUCGUCACAAAAUCAGUUUUUUAGCUAUUCAAGAAACUAAGUCAAAGAGCAUUGACUUAGUCAUGGCUAGAUCUUUUUGGGGUAAUUCUUCCUUUAUGCAUGCUUUUUCUCCUUCUCGUGGUGCUUCUAGGGGUAUUCUUGUUAUUUGGGAUGUGGACUUGAUCUCUCAUAAUUGAGUAUGCAUUCAUGACGAUUUUGUUGUUAUUGAAGCGAUUUGGGUUCGUUCGGGUCUCCAUGUUAAUUUUAUUGUUGUCUACGCUCCUCAAGGGAUAAGUAACAAAAGACUUCUUUGGAAUGAUAUUUAUAAUUUUAUCUCCAAAUCUUCGGGGGAAUGUAUUGUUAUGGGGGAUUUCAAUGAAGUUAGAGAUGACUCGAGAUUGGGCUAGAAUUUCAACUCGUCCUCUGCGAGAUUCUUUAAUGAUUUUAUUAAUUCUCUUGACCUUGUGGAUAUUCCAUUGGGUGGCUCUCGAUUUAUUUGGAGCGAUAAAUAGGGUUCCAAAUUUAGCAAGCUUGAUAGAUUUUUUGUAAUGGAGGGUUUUAUUGAUAUGUUUCCUCAUCUUUCAGUUAUUGUCUUAGAAAAGAAUAUUCCUGACCAUCGCCCUAUUCUUCUCCUGGAGCAUCCGGUUAACUAUGGCCAAACUCCUUUUCGUUUAUUUCACUCUUGGUUUGAUAUGGAGGGUUUUGAUAACAUUGUUCGGGAGACUUGGGCAACCUCGUUGGUGGGAUGGAGUUGACUAACCCUUGGGUUAUUUUUAAGAAAAAGCUCCAGCUUCUUAAAUCUAGCCUCAGGGUGUGGAACUCCAAAUACCGGGAUAUGGUGGUUAGUAAAAGGAAGAAUCUGCAAGAUUUAUUAGAGUCUAUUGAUACUACGAUCAUGGACGAUUAAGGCUCUGCCAAUUUAAGAGAGCAAAGAGUCUCUUUAAUGAAGGAGCUGUCGGAUCUCAAUCAUUUGGUUCAAGCUAGCCUUGCUCAAAAAGCUAAAAUCCAGUGGGGCAUUGAAGGGGAUGAGAAUUCUAAAUUUUUCCAUGGUAUGCUUAAUCGUAAAAGGAGACAAACUGCUAUUCGUGGUUUGAUGAUUGACGGUGUGUGGGAGGAUAAUCCGGUUAAGGUUAAAAAAGGGUUUCACGAUUAUUUCCAAUCUCUGUUUUAGCAGCAUUCUUCGUGGAGACUGGUUACAAAUGGUGCUUUUUUAGUACCUUAUCUGAAUUGUAGGCUGACUAUUUGCAAUCUCCUUUCUCUUGUGAGGCGAUAAAAAAGGCAGUUUGGGACUGUGGCUCUAACAAAGCCCCUGGCCCCGAUGGGUUCACUUUCGGUUUUUUAAAGAGAUAUUGGGACCUUUUUUCUACCGAUGUUGAGGCCUUUGUUCAUCACUUUUACCAUCAUUCUAUUAUUCCCAAAGGAUGUAAUGCCUCGUUCUUCUCUAUUAUCCCAAAAGUCAAAGAUCCGAAGACUCCUAAAGAUUUUAGACCCAUUAGUCUCAUUGGUUGCCAAUACAAAAUUAUUGGCAAACUUCUGACUAAUCGUCUAGUGGAGGUUAUUCAUAGUGUUGUUAGCCUUGAGCAAUCUGCUUUUAUCAAAGGCAGACAGAUUCUGGAUGGUCCUUUUCUUCUUAACGAAUUGGUUGCAUGGAGCAAGUCUUCUAAAAAUCAUUUGUUGCUCUUUAAGGUUGAUUUCGAGAACGCUUUUGAUUCCUUAUCUUAGGAUUACUUACUGGAAAUCAUGUCUACAUGGGAUUCGGAUCUACGUGGUGUCGGUGGAUUAAGGAACUUUUGUCGACUGCGAGGGCUUCUGUGUUGAUUAAUGGUUCCCCGACUGAUGAAUUUCAAAUUCAUCGUGGGUUGAGACAGGGUGAUCCUCUUUCCCUUUUUUUUGUUUAUUUUGGAUAUGGAGGGUCUUCAUAUUGCUUUGAUGCGGGCUCGAGCUGUGAAUGCUCUUAGAGGGGUCUCUAUUUCAGACAUUGAAAUCUCUCAUCUCCUGUAUGCGGAUGAUGUUAUGUUAGUCACUCCUUGGAAUCCUGAGAACGCUAAAUGUCUCCUUCGUAUCCUUAGAUGCUUCUACUUGGCUUCUGGGCUUAAAAUCAAUUUACUUAGAAGUAAAUUGAUUGGUGUGGGAAUUUCUUUUUCUCAAGUUCUUGUGGUGGCAAACAGGAUUGGUUGUGCAGCCUCUAUGCUUCCUUUUUCUCAUCUUGGUAUCCUGGUAGAUCACCCUAUGACUCGAAAGUCCUCUUGGGUUCUUAUGAUUGAUAGAUUUCGCUCCAAGCUCUCAAUAUGGAAGGCUAAGUGCCUCUCAUUUGGAGGUUUUCUUACUUUGAUAAAGUCUGUCUUGGGCUCGUUUGGGAGUUACUUGAUAUAUGCUUUCCUUGCUCCUAUUUCGGUUUUGAAGGACCUUGAAGGUAUAAGGGCGAGAUUGUUUUGGGGUGCAAACUGAGAUGAUCGUUGUAUGCAUUGGGUUAGAUGGGAUAGAGUCUUAUCCUCCAAGGAAGAAGGUGGUUUGGGGAUUGGCAGUCUUUUCUCUUUCAAUAGAGCUAUGAUUUUUCGCUGGUGGUGGAGAUUUUAUCACUGCCCUGAUCUUCUAUGGGUUAGAGUGAUAAAAUCUAUCUACGGUUUGGAUGGCUCUUGUAGGAAUCUGAGAAUUCCUAUUUCUGCCCAAGGUUCUUGGGGUGGGGUUGUUCGUAUGUUCUCCCAGUUACGCAAGAAAGAUAUUGAUCUUCAAUCUUUGUGCCCUAUUAGAGUUGGCGAUGGUACCCGUACCUCUUUUUUGGCAUGAUGUUUGGAGGGCUGAUACGCCCCUGUCUGCCACGUUUCCUAGAAUAAUCUAUGCGCUGGAUUUGCAUAGACAUGCUUCUGUUACAGACAGGUUGUCCAAGGGUUUGGGAGUUAACACUCUCAGACGUGACCCUAGAGAUGGUGCGGAACAGGAGCAAUGGAAUACUUUUACUUGUCUUUUGCAGGACUUCCAAUUCAGUCCGGUCCCAGAUAGAUUGGAUUGGGCUAUUGAUGUUUCAGAUAACUUUUCAGUUUCUUCGGCUCGAAAAUUCUUGGAUAAUCUUACGCUUAACAACGGAGGUCACUCUACUCAUUGGAAUAAUUGGGUUCCAAUUAAGAUAAAUAUUCUUAUUUGGUGAAUUAGAUUGUCUAGUAUCCCUACUAGAGAACGUUUAUCCCAUAGAGGUAUCAUGGUGGAUUUUAUUCUUUACCCUGUCUGUUCUUCUAGAGUGGAGACUGUUGACCAUAUUUUUGCUGACUGUUCUUAUUUGAGUGCUUUAUGGUCCCGUAUCGCGAUCCGUUGGGGUGUCAACUGUCCUUCUCAGUUGACUGUGGAUUCUCUUAUCAAUUGGGCUGAUUCUACCAUCCGGUGUAGUGGGCAGCGCAAAGCUUUUGAUGCGGUGAUCUUAACCGCCUUUUGGUGCAUAUGGAAUUUCAGGAACGGUUUGAUUUUUAGAGCGGCUACAUCUAAGAAAUCUAUGAUUUUUGAUAAUGUUGUUCAUAAUUCUUUUGUUUGGAUUUCUAGUAGAUGUAAUAAAGGCAAGUUUAGUUGGUCCUCUUGGCUUCAUAAUCCUCUUUAAGCUACUAUUUUGAUGUAAUUCUUUUUCUAGCUUCUUGCUAGUUUUAUUUAAUUCCGCCGUUCCAAAAAAAAAAAAGAAAAAAAAAAGUCAAUAAACAUUUCAAAUAAACAAUCAGAAUUUACAAACACCCCUUAAAACAAUAAAAAAAUAAAAAUAAAAAGUAAACUAAAAGCACUUCUAGAUAGUUGAGAAGCUUAUAAAAAAACUUUAUAUUUAAGCAAAUAAAAGCUUUUAUUUUGUUUCUUCCAAACUCAAAAUUAGUUAUUAGCAAUACAAAAGACAAUAGACUAAUAAGAAGAAAUGAAAAAGAAAACGGUUACACCACCAAAAUAGCCUAGUAGUAUAAUCCAAAAUUUUAACACCUUAAAAGGAAUUCCUAUUUGAACUAGUUUUAAUCUUAGAUUAUCUAGUUUUAAUCUUAGAUUAUCUAAUCAACUAUCUCAAAUAAUUUGUUUAAAAAUAAGUUUAUAUGUUUUUUUAGAAAUCUCACCAAACAUUAAAUUACAAUACAUUAAAAAACAAAUCAACUUAGGAUCAUGAUAUUUCCACUGAGAGUUUUUAAUAAUACACUAAAAAAUUGUGUAUAGACAUUUAUACCCUUCCUUUUAAAUAAUAAUUAUUUAAGAGUAAGAAAGACCAAACAACUUGAAUCGUUAUGUUUAACUUCUACAUAUUCUUGAUCUCAGUUACAUCUCAACGAUGAAAUCUGAAAUCCUUAAUUCUUGGAGCAAUUGUAGGUUUCUUCUUGAAUUGUAAGUCCAUACGUACAUACAUACAUACAACAAAUGGGAGUAAUGGAAACCAUGGCAAUGGUGGAGAAGAUGAACAACAAAUGCUUUUGCAGUUCAAGGAUGCCACUUUUAAUCGCCCAACCACCGCCACCUUCCUUCACUUUUACCUUUGUCGAUGCCUUAUGAUCACUAUGGGUUAAAUUUCUUUUCUUUCUCUCUUUUCUGGUGUAAAUUAUUUUCUAAUAUAUUUGAGUAAUCAAACAUUUUAAUAUAUAUUUUUUUCCUUUGGUUUGCUAAAUUUAUGUUCCUAAUUGUCAACAUAUAUAGACAAACCUUGAUCUCAAAUCAACCACGAUGACUAAACUUUUCCAAUAACUCCAAUUCAAGUUUUUCUAAGGUAAAUUAACCAUUAAUAUUUACCCAAUUAUAUUCCAUUCAGCUUAUAACUUUUUACUAUAUAAGUUCCUGUUGUUACACCAAUAUUAAUCUCGACGACAAUUAUUCUGAUUUUCAACUUGAACAUGAAAGUUUAAAGAAUACAAGGUAAAAUACAACAGAUACAGGGUAAAUGCCACAAAAUAUAGAAAAAACUAAUAUGAAUGAUUAAGAAAAUACAAGGAAUCAAAGACAGCCAAAGAGGUGAACUUCUUCCUGUAGCAAGCAGACGAACAAGCAACAAGCCACAGGUACAUCUACAGUCGCAGUGACACAAAUACUAUACCGAGAAGAAAAAUAAAUUAAUUGUACGAAACUUAGAAGUUGAAUAGAAGUGGAUUCAAUUCGGAGAGAGAGAGAGAGAGAGAGAGAGAGAGAGAGAGAGAGAGAGAGAGANNNNNNNNNNNNNNNNNNNNNNNNNNNNNNNNNNNNNNNNNNNNNNNNNNNNNNNNNNNNNNAGAGAGAGAGGAGGGGGAGAGAGAGAGAGAGGGAGAGAGAGAGAGAGAGAGAGAGAGAGAGAGAGAUUAGUUUAUUAUGCGAUUAAUAAAUGAAUAUAAAUAAUUUAUUAAUAUAUUAUAAUAAUUCUAUAUUAAUUAGAAAAUAUAUUAUUUAAUUAAUAAUUAAUCAGAAAUUAAUUUGAAUUAAUUUUGAGAUUAAAAGAAUUAAUUAAAAAUGAAUGGUCUAAAGUACAAUUGUUCAAUAGUUGAACAAAAGACUCCAGAACCUUCCACAAAAAUGGUGGGCAGGUUUAGGAGGAUAUUCUAGGGUUUCUAGAAUAUCCCAUGUGGAUAAAUAAUGAGUUAUAUAAAUAACAAUAUGAAAUAUUAUUAUUAUAUUCCAAUUAGGGGUAUCCAUGACAUCCUUAUACCACUAAAUAAAGGACCCUAAGGCCUUCAUUUUUCGACCACUCCAUUCCAUAGAGAGAUAGCCGAAAUUUCAAGUCUCACCUCUUCUCUCUCUUAAGUCAUCUUCUUGCUAGCUUCAUUGUGAUUCCGUUUGAAGCACGACACUUGUGAUGCUUGCUUUUAAGAGAUCUACUUUUGAAGAAUCAUUUUUAUUUACUACAAUGCAAAUUAAGGUAUGUAAUCCUAAACCCUAAUUUAUGAUUUUCGUAAAUUACCUAGGGUUCUUAGGUUUCUUAUUUGAUGUUCAUAGAUAUAGGUUCAAUAGUGAAAACAUAAAUCCUUUAAGUUGCAUGUGAACUUAAGGGUUUUAAGUUUAUUUGUUUUUCCUAAAUCACAUCACUCUCACUCUCACACACACACACACUCUCUCUCUCUCUCUCUCUCUCUCUCUCUCUUUCUCUCUCUCUCUCUCUCUCUCUAUAUAUAUAUAUAUAUAUAUAUAUAUAUAUAUAUAUAUAUANNNNNNNNNNNNNNNNNNNNNNNNNNNNNNNNNNNNNNNNNNNNNNNNNNNNNNNNNNNNNNNNNNNNNNNNNNNNNNNNNNNNNNNNNNNNNNNNNNNNNNNNNNNNNNNNNNNNNNNNNNNNNNNNNNNNNNNNNNNNNNNNNNNNNNNNNNNNNNNNNNNNNNNNNNNNNNNNNNNNNNNNNNNNNNNNNNNNNNNNNNNNNNNNNNNNNNNNNNNNNNNNNNNNNNNNNNNNNNNNNNNNNNNNNNNNNNNNNNNNNNNNNNNNNNNNNNNNNNNNNNNNNNNNNNNNNNNUAUAUAUAUAUAUAGCUAGGUUAUAGUGUGGAUGGACAUCUAUUAUGCGGAUGUGCGUGGAUAGUGUAAUUCUAUGAGAAUGACUAAGAGAAUAUGUAGUUUGUUAAUGUGAAUACAUUCAACCUCAUACAACUAUUAAGGUAUGUAAUCAUAAACCCUAAUUUAUGAUUUCAAGAGGUAUACUUUUAAAGAAUCAUUGUUAUUUACUACUAUAGCAAUUUAGGUAUGUAAUCAUAAACCCUAAUUUAUGAUUUUCGAAAAUUACCUAGGUUUCUUGGGGUUUCUUAUUUGAUGUUCAUUGUUAUAGGUUCAAUAGUGAAAACAUAGAUCCUUAAGGUUGCAUGUGAACUUAAGGGUUUUAUUUUUAUUUGUUAUACCUAAAUCCCAUCAGUGAUAUCAGAGCGUUUGGUUUGUUUUCAAUUGAAUUGCUAUAAUUGUAGAAUUUCAUCAAAUUAGGCUUUAUAGAAAUUAAACCCUAAAAGGCUUAGAAUUUCCACUAGGGUUAUGGUUUUUCGAAACCCUAGCCCAUCACCUUGGAUUUCGAAAUUAGGGUUAGGGUUUGAAACCCUAACCUUCCUCCCCAAGUUUUCGAAAAUUGUUGUAUGGUUAGGAUUUUGUUAGUUUAAUUUGAUUAAAAGGGAUAAUUAUAAAAUUGGAUAAAUCCUAUACCCAUAUUUUUCGAAAAUUUAGAAAGUAUGGAUUAGGAUUAAAUUAUUCGAUUAAUUUAAUUGGAUAAUCCUCAAUUGAUUUAAUAUAUUUAAUUAAAUGUUAAUUAAUAGACAAAUAUUUAAUCAUUUGGUUUGUUUUUUGAAUUUAAAUUAAUUAUUUGUUAAUUUUGAAAUUUAAAUAAAAUAAGCCUAGUAUUUUGAAAAGUUUAAAAUACAGCUUAUAUAUAUAUUAUUAUUAAUUGUUAAUAUAUUAUAUGUAUAAGACUAAGUUAGUUAAGUCGCUAGUAUGUCUCAUUCACGAAGCCGAUCUAUAAGGGAGGGGGGGUAGAAGGAAACUGCCUUAAAAUGGUAGUUGAAUGGGUGUCCACUCUCACCCACUGCUUACUUGAUUGUUAGAGGGUCGUUAGCAGAACGAACUUGAUAGGACAUUAACUCUUAGUAAAAGUGUAAUGAUAUUAAUAGAACUAGAACCUUCUUUUAUUAAUAUCCAAAAUCUAGUUACUUUAGGAAAAAUGUGAAUUAGUAUGCUAACCCCUGAAAUUACACAUUACACUUUAUAAGUCGUUAAUAGAGCGUGUGUGGUUAACGAGGACACUAAUAGGGACUAAUAAAGAGUUGUAAUGGGCAUCUCAUAAAUUAUCAUUGUUGAUGGAGCAUGUGUGGUUUACCAUCACAUCAAUUGGGAUGAUAAAUGAUAAUGAGGUUACUAAGAACAUUCGCAUGGUUAUUCACAUCUUGUUUGUGAUCCUCAGUAUCCCUGUCACAAAUAUAAGAGAAUAAUUUGAGAUUAAACAUGCCAUUGAAUAGUUUCAAUGAAUCUCAAAAGACCUAGGAAUUUCUCUUAACUUAAUUUUGUUUCCUAUUGGUGGAAUUGGUAAGUUGUAAUUUACAUACCUUUAUAAAAUUUACAAUUACAUCAUCCAUUUUCUAAGUUGUAAAUUACAUAGUUGGAUUAUAGCCUUAAUAUUUUAUUUUGGGGUUCUAUAUUAAAGAUUAUUCUUAUCUAACUAAAACUAUAAAACGACCUUCCUUUUUUAGAUGUCUACUCUAACUGAUGCUUUUGUUUCCUCCUCCUCCAAAAACCAUAACUUCUCCUUGCUCUCUAUCUGCUCCAAAGUCAUAUUGGAUGUGUCCAAUUAUAAUGAUUGGAUGCCAAAUAUAAAGAUAGCCCUUCGAUCUGAGAACAAAGAGUAUGUUCUUGAAAAGGAACUCAUUGGAUUCAAAGAAGGCAAAGCUACUCCUGAAGAAUACACCUCCUACCAAAAGCACUACGAUGAUGCAACAAAAGUUGCUUGCAUCAUGGUAGUCACCAUGACCCCUGAGUUGUAGAAGUUUUAUGAGGACUACUGGCCCAAUGAGUUGAAAAAUGACCUUAUGGAAAAGUACCAUAAGCAAGCUCGUCAAGAAAAGUACGAGAUGGUCAAGUCCCUCAUGGCAUGUAAGAUAAGGGAGGGAGAAUGUGUAUGUGGCCACAUGCAAAGAAUGAAACGUUGCGUGGAGCACCUUGUUAGGCUAAAUGUGCAUUUUGAUGAAGAGUUGGAUAUUGACAUAGUCCUAAACUGCUUACCUAUUUGUUACGAUCAACUUAUUCUGACCUAUCAUCUAAACAAUAGUGAGACCACCUUGGCUCAAUUGAACAACCUUCUGCAGACAGCUGAAGCAGGAAUGAAGGGGAAAAGUUUAGCCUUCACCCCUUCUAGUGCUCCCAUCCUAGCCAUUAGAUAGGGAAAGGGUAAAAAGAGGAAAGGUCAUACCAAUAAAAAAUGGAAGGGAAAGUCUCAUGCAGGGUCGUCCAGUAGUGGCCCUAAAGGAAAGUCCAAUUCUGAUAACCUACUCUCUUCUCAUCCUAAAGAGGCUAUCUGCUUUUACAGCAAUGACAAGGGGCAUUGGAAAAUAAGUUUCCUGAAGUAUCUGCAAGAUAUCAAAGAUGGCAAAGUGAAGCCAACUUUUGCAGGUAUAUACACUAUUUCAUCUAAUAACUCAUAAUCUUCUUGUUCUUGGUUUCUUGAUAUAGGGUGUGGAUUUUUACCUUUGUUCUGAUUUUCAGGGGCUAAGAAGAAAUAAGGAAGUGGAGCAUGGUAGAAUGAACUUGAUCAUGGGGAAUAGCCGAUCUUCUCUUGUUACCAAUAUUGGAGUUUAUAGUCUAGUUCUUAGUAAUGAUGUUUGUUUAGAUAUAAUAAAUUGUUGCUACUCGUCAUAAAUGACAAGAAACAUUAUUUCUUUUCAUGAAUUGUUCGGACAAGGGUUUAUAUAUCCAUUUAAUGAUUUGAAUUGUUCUAUUUUUGCUUAUAAAAAUGGUGUUAUUAUAUUUGAAGCUUUAACUUUUGAUGGUGUGUAUGAAACUGUGACAUGUGUUGAUAAUUUUAGGCAAUAAUGUGUUUCAUAUUGAUUCGUCUAAUCAUGUAGACAAAGCGUGCUUGUGUCUUCUUAGACACAUUAUCAAGAAGCGCAUCGUCCAACUCCAAAAGGAUGGAGUGUUGGAAUCAUUUGACCUAAGGUCAGAUGAUAUAUGAUAAUCUUGUCUUUUGGGAAUGAUGACAAAAUCACCUUUCAUUGGAUCUUGUGAAAGAGGUGAAGGAUUGUUGGAUCUCAUACACAUACAUGUGUGUCGUCCCUUCAGAUCAUCUACAGGGAUGCUAAUCGAUUCUAUGUGACUUUCACUGAUGAUUAUAACAGAUAUGGUUAUAUCUACUUAAUCAAUCAUGAGUCAGAAACCUUUGAAAAGUUCAAAGAGUUUAUACAUGAAGUCGAGAAUCAAUUGGGUAGGAAGAUAAAGAUGCUUAGAUCUGAUAGAGGCGGAGAGUAUCUUAGUAUCAAUUUCAACGACUAUCUAAAGGAAUGUGGAAUAUCUUCACAAUUGACUCCUCCUAAGACACCACAAUUGAAUGGUGUGGCUGAGAGGUGUAAUCAGACCUUGUUAGAAAUGGAUCAUUCCAUGAUAAGUCAUGCUUCUCUUCCUAUUCACUUAUGGGGCAUACCUUAGAGACAUCCGUCCACAUCCUCAAUCUUGUCCCUACAAAGAAGGUUGCCAAAACACCUCACAAGAUGUGGAUAGGGAACUUUCCCUCGUUAGCAUAUCAAAGUCUGGGGUUGUGAAACUUUCAUGAGACGAGAGACUCAUGACAAGCUAGCAACUAGAAACAAGAAGUGUAUUUUCGUUGGUUACCCAAAGCAAUCUUUUGGAUAAUUAUUCUACAGACCUAGUGAGAACAUGGUAUUUUUAUAGCACAAAGGGGAGUCUGUAGAGAGAGAGAGAGAGAGAAAGAGAGAGAGAGAGAGAGAGAGAGAGAGAGAUAGCUUAUAUUUAAAGAGGACAGUGGGAGUACCAUUAACCUUGAAGAAAUUCAAGAGUCAACCAGUGAAAGAGCCUUAGAUGAAACUAGCACUCAACCAUAGGAAGAAGUUCCUAUUGAACCGAUAGAGGAAGAAGUUCCUAUUGAACCGAUAGACAAGUCAUUACCUCUUUGGCGUUCCAGUAGAGUUAGCAUGCCGCCUGAGUUCUAUGGCUUCCAUAUUACUACAGAUGGUGACACGCUCGUCAGUGAUAGGACACUGAUAAAUAUAGAUGAGUCGACUAGCUACAAGGAAGCAAUGGCAGACACUGAGGCUACUAAAUGGAAAAAAGGCAACGGACAGUGAGAUCAAGUCCAUGUAUGACAACCAAGUUUGGAAUUUGGUUGAUAGUGUACCAGAUCGAAAGAUAGUCGGGUGCAAAUGGAUCUUCAAGAAGAAGACCAAAAUAAAUGGAAAGGUACACACUUUCAAGGCUCGACUGGUUGCGAAAGGUUUUACUCAAACCCUGGGGGUUGACUUAUUGGAUUAGGUGUCUAAGUUCAUAACUAUUCCUGCAAUGUACUUGACCCGGUUAGCAUGGUCCAUUUAGGUUUCAUGACAUUGCAACAUUUGGAUAGACUAAAUGAGAGAAAGGACACUUAAGGUUAUUAAUAUAUUAUAAGUUCUAAUAUAUUAAUAAUAUUAUUUAAUUAGUAUUGAUCAAAGAAUUAAUUUGGAAUUAAUUAAGUGAUCAAAAGAGACUAAUUAAAUAUAUGUAGUUGAUUGUGUAAAUUAUCUAUUCUUGUAUAGUGGGCUAUUGAUCCAUGGUUUGUAUGGAUUGGGUUAAAACCUAUAAGGUGCUCCAUGGAUAGUUCAUGGAGGCUAUAAACCCAUGGAUCAUGGAAUAUGGAAAACCAUGACAAUUAGGGUUUACAUGGUGUAACCCUACUUGUGCCAUAACUAUAUAAAGACCCUUAGACUAGAAAAAUCGGCACUUGUACAAGAAAGAAAGAGGGCUAGCAGAUUUUUAGGUGUUAGUGAACUUCUCUCAAGGCUAUUCAAAGUGUUCUGGUGUUGUGUGAGACAUUUGAGGCAUCACACUUGAGGUGCUAGACUCACAAGGUUCUCAAGGAAUCCAAACAAUAAAAGGUAUGUUCUUCUUCUAACAUUUAUGUUUAAAAGUUCCCCAUGCUAUGGUAGAUAGUUUAAGAACCUUGGAAAAACAAUUUUGCAUGUAUCAUAGUAAAACAUAGAUCCAAGGUUUUUAGGGUUGUAUGUACACCUUAUGAGUGUUAGAAUGCUCAAAACCCUUUAGCGGUUUCAGAGCCUAGGCUUGUUUAUUUGAUACUUAAUGCAAACUUGUUGAAAAAACUUAGUUUUCUGCAUUCUGCAGCAUGAACUCGCCGAGUCCAUGAGUUAAUUCAUCCUACUCGUCGAGUAGGUUCAUGCACUAGACAAGUAGGAGCCCCAGAAUGCAAAUUUUCGAGUUUUGCUACUGGAAAUGGGAUAGAAACAUUACCCUAAACUGUUUAGGUCUUAUAAAACUUGUUUUAGUUGGUGUAAUGGUUAUGCUAAUCCAUCUUCAAUGGAUAUUAUCAAAAUUUCAAGUUUUAUAUGGUUUAUUUAUGAUUCUUGAAAUUGUUGAUAUGCAUGUUCAUGAACUUUUGAGUUUAGAAGAUCAUAGGAAUAUUUUGUAACUUGCUUGUUAGUUUAAUUCUUGAUCAUUAUGUGUUUUAAUGAAAUCCAUAAUUUGUCCUCAAGUUAUGGAUUACCAAAAGUCACUCUUUUAAAGUCCAUUAUGAAACACAUAGGUUACAUAAAAUGAAAAGUCUCAUUUUAAUAAACCAUUAACUCAUAAGUUAUGAAAGAUGAAAAGUUUUAAAAGUUACAAAACGUGCCCUCAAGUUUUGGAACAUGUAAAGUCACCUUAAAAACUUUAGUUCCAACCCCUAGAAUUUUAAAAGUUAAAAUUCAACCCUUAUGCUUUAUAAUAUUAUAAGUUUAAUAAUAAUUAUAUAUGUAUAAGAACAAGUCGUUUUACCGUUAGUAGGUGUGACAUCCCCAAUUUCACGGCCAGAAAAGACCGAUCUGUUUAUGCUUUGUUUUCAAAAUCAGAGUGAUCGUUUAAAGGAAACGGUUGCGGAAUUUGUUCCCAAAAUAAAAUAUGAUAACCAUUUUAUUCAAAACAUUUCUCGAAAAGAAUGUAUUUUUAUUAAAUAAUAAAACCUCGGGAUGUCAUGUUCGUUACAGACCAAAAGCAUAAACAACAUAAAAUAGACCUUACAAUAGCUAUUCAACUACUGAUCUAUAAUCCAAAAUCUCUCGUCAAGUCCGCCGACUUAUACUCUUGUGUCAUUACCUGUAAUGAAAAGAAAACUGAGUGGGUCAGGCUUGGGAGCCUGGUGAGCAUAUAGGGUUUUCAACCCACAAUAAUACAUUUAUUAUAUUCAAUUAUCAAACAAUCAACUCAAAUACCCAUCCCCAUCAUCUUCUUAAGGUUUCCCCCUAAGAACCAACUAUCCUUCAUUC